rnacentral:lncRNA from 1 species
GAUUGUUCAAGGCUUAAUUAAUUGUGUGCAUUCCCUUUUUUUGUCCUAAUUAGCAAAUUAUUUGCUAAGAUAGUGAUUGCUGUAGUAUAAGCAAAUUCCCAUAUAAUUUCUUGUAUUAAAUAAGGCUUCACAUUUUUUAAGCUGAUUCAAAAUUCCCCUAAAGCCUAUAUUUUCUGUUUAUUUGGUGACUGCUUCUAUAACAAUUUGGGGGUAUGGAAUUAAGACCAAAUAAAGUUUGUAAUAAAAACCUAGAGUGUUGAAGUUUUCUUUUGCAGUGGUUUUGUCCCUAUUGUAAUUGGAUUGAUGAAAUGACUGGCAUCAAACUGUGAGUUGACAAUAGAUGUUCAUUUGAAUAUCCGAUUGCAAAUGGUAAUAUCUACAGGAGAAGCUUCCUGGGAUGAGCACCUUGAGUAUGGUUAAGGAUUUUGUGGAUAAAAACCAAGCAAGUGGUAUUGGCUCUUAUGACCUGGCCUUUGCUUAUCCUUGGAAGGUAUUCAAUGGUCAAGGUAUGAAUAGUUUAUACUUAGCUUUCCUACUUGUUUUGAUAGGUAUAUUAGCUUAAUUAAUUUUAACAUUGACUAGUGUUAUUCAUUACUUGUAAAGAUAAGGAUAGUCUUGCAAUUCCAAUUCACUGCUCUCUUCCACUCCAUUACCUGCAUUCAUUGAGGUUUUCAUGGAUAAUGUUCAUUCAGAGUCUGCAAUUUCCUGUCCUUGGAUCAGUUUUUGAGUCUUCCUCCUUUUGUUUAUUGAUUGCAUCAAAGUAAACAUACGUGAAUUCACAUUUUUCAACAUGGUUUUUUAUAGUCCUGAUUUUUAUCUAGCAUUGAACAUGAUUAUGGUGUAGCUGUUUUUCAAGUCUUAACUAAAAUACAGAGUAGGUCUUUUCUGACUCAACCGAUCCUUCAUUCACAAAAUUUUGCAAUAUUUAUGCCAUAUACAAAUAUGAAAGAAAAGGCAAGAGGUCACACUUGUACUUGACAAAUUUGACUGUGACAGAGAGAGGUGGCAAACGCACCAGUUUAUUCUCAUCACUGGACUCUACAUCAUAAACUUAAUGUCAGUGUUACUUUAACUGUCAUCCACAAGAGAGGUUGUGUUAGUAUUUUAUUUUUCAUGCAAAUGUUAGGAUACAUUCAAUGGUUCUGAUCAUUAUGAUUGUCCUGUUGGUUCCCUUUCUAUCUAUAUUCAAUUUGGGGAGAUUUGCUACUUUCUGGAGAUCACUCAAUAUCAAUCUCUCAUUCUAUUUGGUUUUGUACAAAAACUCAUUUUCUUCUUGUGUGGAUUCAAGAAGAAGCCGAGAUUGAGCUUGGUGCGGACUCCAAGUGUGCUCCGGAAGAUGAAGGUAAGAAGUUGAAAGUGAAAGUACUACUUAAGUGGUUCGGGAAGGAUUGGUUGGCUUGAGUUAGGUAAAACCUUGUACUCAGUUUUUAUUCUUUAUAGUGGAGUUUUUCAAUCGGUGGCAGACCCGUGGUUUUUGAUCUAUUCGGAGGUUUUCCAUGUUAAAAUCCGGUGUUAAUUGUCUCUUUCUCUCACUCUACACUUUGAUUUAAUUUCUGUUUUUGAAUGGAAGAAAUACGAGGUGAUAUAAGUGUGAUGAUCCAUGAAAUAUCCUUAAUAAUUUUUCUGCUCAUUUUGGUUAAUGAUAUAAUGAAGUAAAUUGAUACUAGUUGAAGAGAUAAUUGUUCUUUUGAUUUAUUUUUAAGGAUUGAUGAAACAUUUGCAUGUGCAUUGCAUUUAUAAAUUGUUGGGAGACUGUUAAUGCAUACAUUCUUGCUUGUGGAUGUUAUGCUUUGUUGAAUAGUUGUUGGAAGAGAAAUUUCUUGACAUUGAGAAAGUUUAAAGUUAGGUAAUCUUUGUUGGGAGAAUUUUUUAAAUUGUUCUACAAUACCUAUUCACCUCCCUCUAGGUGUAUUCCAUUGAGAUUCACCGUUUCAUGUUGCAUGUGUAGGGAAAUGAAGAGAUGGCUGUCCUCUGCAUGUGAGUGUGGUCUCUAUUUGGGUUGGGCUUGGGUGGUAAUGAUGUCAGUAUUAAAGGUGUGUGUAAUGGAUAGGAAAGAUGCAUGAAUGAGUGUGUUUUGUGUAAUGGAGUGCAUUUAGAGGGAAAGUAGAAAAAGCCACAAAUAUGAGGAGCUUUCCGCCACAUCAAUGCCUGUUAAAAAAUUCGAAGUGCAGGCAGCAAACCUAUGCCUUACAACGGGAAAGGGGGUCCCUUACCCACCAGGACAAUUUUAACCUUAUUGUUAUAUAUCCACAUAAUAUAUAUAUGAAAUAGUAAAUUAAAAUUUUAGUAAAUAAAUUAAUUUGAAUUAUUUAUUUUUAAAUUUCAUUUAGUUUAUAAUUGGAAACAUCAAAACUAUUUUAAUAAUCUCCCUAAUAAAUCUUUUUUAAAAAUCAUAUAUACUUAUCUUUUAUCAUUAAAUAACUAAUAUAAAUUACAGAUAAAUAUAUAUAAUUUAGCAUAAAUUAAUAUUAUAUAUGAUAAAACUUCAAAAUUUAUCUCAAAAUUCUCUUUAAAAGAUAACAUUAGUUUAAAUAUUAAAAAAAAACUUCAAAAUUCUUUUGAAGUGUUGUAAAAUUUGAUUUUUUUUUUAAAUUAACAUAUUGUAAGAAAUAUUUUUAAAAAUUAUUUUUUUGCAAAAUCCCAUAGGAGGGUGGGUGUGAACAAAGCCCAAAUAGUGUCAUUCAACUAAAAUGAUUGGUCUAGAAAUUUGGAUGGAGUUUGAUAUAUAAGGCUUAGGAUGGAAUAUAUCCUUUAAUACAUGACAUGGCAUAUAUCAUCUUCAUGCUUAUUUUUAGAGUUAUGUUGACAUUAUUGAAAGUAAACCACCAUCUAACCAUCACUAAAUAAAUAAAAUAAAAUAAAACAAAAUGAAAGUGAUAUAUAACCAUAUUCUCCAUGCUAACUUAAUAAAUUUUGAUAUUUGAAAGUAUAUUAAAUUACUAUUUUUUUAAUUAUUAUUAUUUUUGAUAUUUUUAUCUUAAAUACAUAAAAUAAGAAAAAAAUAUAAUAAUAAUUUUAUAGAUGUUUUUAAAAUAUAUAAAAAAAUUAAUUUAGCACUUAAUAGUAAUAAAAAAAAAUGAGUUCAUACUUAACAACAUUCAAACAAGAAUAAAGAACAAAUAAUCUAAAUCUUUAAUAACAAGUAGAAGAAAUUCAACUAACUAAAAUAAUAAAUAAACAUAUAUAGUUUGACUUAAAAUUUGACAAACUACUUUAAUGACUUAAUAAUUGAAUUUACAUGAAUAAAUAUAUUAAAUAUGUUUAAUAAAAUAGCUUAAUAUUAUAAUUUAAUUUAAAAAAAUAGUUUAUAGUAAUAAGUUAAAAUAAAAUAAUUUCUUUUCCAAAUCCCAAAAAUACUUUAUUUUAAUUUUUUAUGUCUCUUUCUUUUCUUGUGUCUCUCUUAUGACCUCAUAAUUAUUGAUAUCAAUAAAGGUAAAUAUAACAAUUUAAUAGUAUAUAUUUUUUUGAGAAAUUAUUUUUAUAAAUGAUCUUAGUACUUAAUAAUAAUAAUUUGAUAACAAGUUUUAAGUUGAAGUCUAUAUUAAGUAUUAAUUUUUAUCAAAUGCCACCUAAGUCUUAAAUCAUCAUUUUAUAUUUUAUUUACUUAUAUGUCAUUUUAUUAUGAUUAAAGGGUGUUGUACACGUGUCCAUGUUCAAAAUUAAUGAUAAAAUUUAUAUUUCAAUAAAUGAAUUAAUAUUUCAUUAAAUAUUUAGAUGAAAAGGGGCACAAAUUUUAAAUGACCCAAAGGUCAAUCAUGUUACAAUUUUUUAGAAUAUAUGGAAAUCCUACACAUUUUAUAAUAGUUAAAUUUGUCCACCUAGCUAGAAGGAAGUAAUAAAUAAAUAAAAAAUUUAAAUUAUUCCCACCAUCACCAACUCAUCAAUAAACAAGUUGGAAAAAUGAAAUCACCUUUGAGAGAGUCCAUAGGUGAUAUAACAAAUUUAGCUUUCUAUCCCUACCAUUUCUUAGAAGAAUGAAGUUUGGAGAGAUGACAUAAAUAAUAAUCGCGUUAAAAAAUAUAAACGGUCAUGUAACACAUUUAAACUCAUUUAAUAAUCAAUAUUAUUAUAUUUAAUAAUUAAGUUGAGUUAGAUUUUGUAUAAGGUUCUAUAAUUAAUGUUUAAACUAUAUAUAUUUAUAACUCAAUUGACUUAUUUAUUUUAAAAAAAAAUUAAAAUGGGUUAAAUAUGGAUUAAAUAAUUUAGAAUUAUAACUAGAUUAAUAAACAUUAUUAUUAAAUAGGUCGAUUAAGGUGAAAUUUGUAUUAUACAGAUUAAUCCAAAUAUUAUUGUAGACCCCUCCCGGGGAGGAGUUUUUGUGGUGAUUUUUCUAUCAUGAUUACCCUUCUCACCACCCCGGGAUUUAAGCUGAUGGGGGCGGCUAGAUUAGAAAAACAGCAGAGAGUGGGUGAGGGUGGUAGAAAAAAAAAAAGGCGGGAAAGGAAAGAUAGCUAAGGGGAAGGGAUUGGCAGAAAAGAAAAGGAAGAAAAAGAGAGGCGGAACAAGGGGGAGAAGAACGAAAAGGAAGCUGGUGUUGGCUGGUAGAGAGUCCCCUUGCAGGUGCGCACCUCAUGUCUUUCACCUUCCAUUAUUCUCCUAUCCUUCUUGACGUUUUCUUAGUUCUAGUCCAAAACCAUUAUUUGCUUGCUUUGGUUAAAUUUAGUCCUCUGCAUACAUGCUUUGUUCUUGUUUUCUUUUUUUCUUUGCUUCGUUAAUCCCACCCAUCUUGAGACCAUGGAUCCAAGCGCGAAACAUAGGUUUGUUUGCCUUAGUUGUUUGGCUAGCUGGGGCCCUUCUUUUUAUUUUCUCGUAGCUUCCUCUCUUUCCCCUGUUUCAGAUGUCCAUCUAAGGGGAGCCGUGCAAUGGAUUUAAAUCGAUAAAAGGGGUUCUGGACCCAUUGAACUUGAGGAAUCAGUUGCCCAGACGUUUUCUUAUCAGAGAGAAUGCCAACCCCGAAGUCGAGAAUGCCUUGAAGGAUCCAUACUCGAACCCUGCCCUCCAAGCGGACGUCUCUAGCACUCGAAAGGCUGUUGCCACGCAUAUCCCCAGCAGUCCCUUUUUGUUCAACAGCCCCAUAUCUGCACACCCACGUCCCAUGCAUGGCCGUCAUCCUCACCUAUCUUCUUCAUCACCUCUUUCUCCCUCUAACCGCCAUACCCGUCUCCACAAGGACUCCCAAAGCCACCCUUCUACACGCAUGGAGUCCAAGCACGCCUGCUGCCCCUCCUUGCAUCUCCUUGCUGUGCGCACCACGUCGGCGAGGCGCUUGCUCGCCUCACCAGCCGCUUGCUCGCCUCACCAGCCGCCAUCACUCGCAUCAGCCACCUUGACGGUUGCACCUUCUGGUUGCCGCCGAACCGCCUCCACGACUCCUCUCUCUAUCUUGCCGCCGAUGGCAAAGGCUCCCUCUGAGGAUGAUGUUGCGUUCAGAGGGGUGAGCUGUGGAGAAGAUGAAUAUUUGGGCUUGAGUUGGAGCCCAAUCCAAGCAUGUGAUGGAGUUAGAGUUUGGGGCCUGUCCAAGAUGAUGGAUAUGGGCCUGGUUGGAAGCCCAAGCCCAGUUGCAUUAAUGAAGGGCCUCAUGCCCCCUGUGCUAUUCACUCUCAUGGCCCAUACCCAUUCCAAGAUAGCCCAUUUGGCCACUUCAUUUCUAAAUAAUUUUUUUUUUUAGAAAAAGAAAAGAAAAGGAAGACCUCUAAAUUAGUAAUUUAUUAAGUCAUUCAUUCAUUUUUAUUUUUACCUUAUUUCAUUUUUACCAGUUUAGUUAACUCAAACUUAAAGGCAUUUAAAAGACAAAUUGUUAUUGUUAAUUAAUUUUUUAUCUUGAAAUUCAUACUGUUCAAAUUCAUCCGUUUAAAUAUUAUGUUUGUCAUUUAUUAUUAUUAUCAUUUCGCAUGUACCUAUUUGCCAUCUUUUUAAAAUCUCAUUCAUCAAAGUUAAAUUCUAAUCCUUGAAAAACCCCGUAUCCUAAUCUAAUAUUUCAAUAAUCCAUUUAAAUCUUAUUUUCAUCAAUCAAGAAUCAUUAUCAUAUAUUAUCUAGCUAUUUAAAGUAUAAAGCUUUCAAAGAAAUUAGGUGUCUUAAUUUAAUUCUUCAAACACUCGUUUAAAACUUAUGAUCAUCAAUUGGAAUUAUUAUCUUAUAUUCACCUAUCCAUCUAGUCUAGUCUUUCAAAAAUCCUAUGUUUUAAUUUAAUUCUUCAAGUAUUUGUUUAAAUCUUAUUUUCAUCAAUUAGAAUUAUUAUCCCAUGUUCAUUUAGUUAUUCAAAAUCUAAACCUUCAAAAACCCUGUCUUAAUUUAAUUUUUCAAUAAUUCAUUUAAAUCUUAUUUUCAUCAAUCAGGACUAUUAUCCCAUAUUCAUCUAUUUAUUUAAAACCCAGUUCUUCAAAAAUCUCUUGUCUUAAUUCAAUUUUUCAAUCCUAAAAAUUUUACAAUUCGUCUAAAUUUUAUCCUCAUCAAUUAGAAUCAUUAUUCCAUAUCUAUUCAAAGUCCAAUCUACCGAAAACCCCAUGUCUUAAUCCAAUAUUCAAUCCCAGAAAUUCCAUUAUUCGUCUAAAUGUUAUUUUGGUUAAUUAGGAUUCUUGUUCCAUAUCUAUUUAUUUAUAUAAGGUCCAAUUCUUCAAAAAUCCCAUUUCUGAAUUAAAACUUCAAUCCCAAAAAUCCUACUAUCCAUCUUUAUUCGCCUAAAAUAUUAUUCUCGCUAAUUAGUAUUAUAAUCCCAUACCUACUUAUUUAUUCAAAGUCAUAUCCUUUAAAAAUCCAACGCCCUAAUUCAAAUUCUCAAUUAGAAAAAUUCCACUAUUCUCUUUUUUAUUCGUUUAAAAAUUAUUUUUGUUAAUUAGUAUUAUUAUUCCAUAUUUGUUUAUUUAUUUAUUUCAAUCGUUAAAAUUUAAUUAUUCAAAACCGGAUUUCCAAAUUUAACCUUGAGACUAAAAAAUUCCAUCAAUCACUUUUAUUCAUUUAAUAUCAUCUUUGUUAUCAUUAUUGUAAAUUCCAUGUUUACUUAUUUUUUUCUUCUAAAAAUUCCAAUAAUUAGAGUUCAAUUAUUCAAAGGUCCGACCUUCAAAAUUUAAUUUUUAAAAUCCCACUAUUCACUAUUCACCCAUCCAAAUAUCGUUUUGAUUAAUUAGUAACAUUACUCCAUACUUACCCAUUUAUUUCUCUUAAAAAUUUCAAUCAUUAAAGUCCAAUUCUUCAAAAUUCCGAUUUUUAAAUUUAGCUAUUUGAAAUUCCAAUUGUCCUAUCUCCGAACUUAAUUUCCAGUUUCCUAUGCUCCAAUUCCCGUAUUUGCCCCACUACUUAUUAUCAUUAUUAUUAUUAUUAUUAUCAUCUUAUUCAUUAUUUCUAUAAAUUCUGCCUUCGAAUGAUUUCUAAGAUAUCCAAUUUUUACACAUCAACUUUCAUAAUUUCUACGCCUCAAAUAACUUACGAUUCUGAUCUCUUUCAAAAUUUAACUCCUAUAAUCCCAAUUUUCGUAACUUAAUUAUUCUUAAAAAUCCCAAACUUUCAAAUAAUUCUUCAAAAUCCCAAUUCUCUUUCAAAUUUAAUUUCUAAAAUUUCUCAUUCUUACAUUUAAUUCCUAAGAAUCCAAUUUUCAAAUAAUCUCUAAGAUUCUGAUUCUCAAAUGAAUUUCAAAAAUCCAGUUGUCCUUCGAACAAUUUUAAUCCUUGUUUAGUGAUGCAUGUGAUUCUUCAAAAUCCCAAUUCUCUUUCAAAUUUAAUUUCUAAAAUUUCUCAUUCUUACAUUUAAUUCCUAAGAAUCCAAUUUUCAAAUAAUCUCUAAGAUUCUGAUUCUCAAAUGAAUUUCAAAAAUCCAGUUGUCCUUCGAACAAUUUUAAUCCUUGUUUAGUGAUGCAUGUGAUUUGUUUUGUGCUCUAUAUGGCGUACUAACCCUCUCUAUUGAUAGCACACGGUGGCUCGUUGCCCAAGUAUGUACCCAUUUUCCCUUUAAUCGUUGUCUAUGCAUGUCUUGGCUCUUAUGUGUGCACGAUCAUUCAGGAUAUUCAUUCAUUUACUCGUCAAUUGCCACGUCAGCUUCAUUUUAUUAGUAGAGACCCGACUUUAGGGACUUAGAGGGGUGCUAUGGUCUUUUACCGUACCUUCUCGAUAAGUAACCUGACCCUCGAAUCCGAUCCGGUUUUUCACAGACCACCUUUUCCAAAGUAAGGAGUCACACUUAGGGUUUUCUUUCUUAUUUUAUUUACCCUUUAAAAACAAAAUAAAAAUAAGUGGCGACUCCAAGUCAUUUUCUUAAUAAACUAAAAAUCAAUUUUUCAAAAUAAAAAAAAAUCGAGCUCGCCAUCAAGUGGGAAACGCAUGAGUCGAAAUGUGGGGUCCACAAUUAUCUAUUUAUUAAACAAAUUAUAUAGAUUGAUACAAAUUUGAUCUAAAUAUGAUGAUAUACAAUCUAAAUUAGCUAAAAACAUGUUGGAUUCGAAUCAUGUUAGCAAAUUGUAUCAAGCUUUACUAGCCCUAGGAAAAAUACUACCAAUUUGUUUUAUUCUAUUAUUAUUUUAGUUUAAAAUUUAUUAUUAAUUAAAUCUAAUUAUUAAUUAGGUGUACAAAUUUGACUAUUCAAUUUUGUGCUUAUUUGUUGACGAAUGGGAAAUGGCUUAGAGCUUUCAAUUGGUCCACAACAAACAAGUUGACCCAGUGAAAAUUACCCCGAGUUUGUCAAUGUGGCAAGUUUUUGAAUACUAAAUAAUUAUAUUCCAUUCAAUUAAAAUUUUAAAAUAAGUUUUGGUCUUACAGAAUUAGUAAAUAAAAUUAAUUAAGAAGUUGACCAACAACGACAAUCAGGAGAACAUGAUGAGAAGGAAGCUAAAUGAAUGGAAAAAUGAACGAAAAAAGAACAAUAGAGAAACACUUGUGGAUGAUGCACCCCUAACAUUUUGGCCUGCGACCUAUAAAAUGUAUCCACUUCUGCUGAGGUUGAGGGUUGAGCUAAGAGCCAGCCACUCCACCAAUCAAUUGGUCAACUUGUUUCUCAUACUUGGAGGAGCAAAGUAUAGAAAGGAGACUGCUCAUCAAACAACAAUGGCCGAUUCCGCUACUUCCAGCCUUCACUUGAGUACAGAGUCCAAUCAGGUUGGAGCUGAAGAUGGUAGCCUGACCUAGAUCACAUUCAUGGAUCCUAAAUUGUACGUCGCUUCAGCAGAUGGUGACAUCCAUGUACUUGAGCAAUAUGAUAUUCAUGUCCAGCUAACCCCAAAAAAGAACACAAUCCUUCAUGUUGUAGCCCAAUUUGGCCAAGCGGACUGCGUUAAGUGGAUCCUUCAGUUGCCUUCUCCUUCAUUACUAUUGCAACAACCCAACGAGAAAGGUGACACUCCGCUUCACCUUGCAGCCAAAGAAGGGAAUUUGGCAAUGGUGAAAAAUCUGAUCGCCGCUGCCAAACAACUUCAAGAGGGAGACAUGGAGAGAGGGGGUACAGCAGUUUGUAAGGUGAUGUUGAGGAUGAAAAAUGAGGACAAAGACAUAGCCUUGCAUGAGGCAGUGAGAUAUCAUCACCCUGAGGUGGUGAAGUUAUUGAUUCAGGAAGAUCUCGAGUUCACCUAUGGUGCUAAUACUGAAGGCAACACUCCUCUUUACAUUUCUGCUGAGUGGGGAUUCAGAGACUUGGUGCAGAUGAUCCUAGACAAUUGCUCUUCACCAGCUCAUAGUGGUAUCAAGGGUCCAACGGCUUUGCAUGCUGUGGUAAUUCUCAAUGACCAAGGUAGUGGAGGAUCCACCAUUUUUUUUUUUUUUUGCAAAUCUCGAAUCACAUUACAAAAGGAAACUUUAUUCAUUUUCUUUAUUGUCUUGUGUUUUUUUUCUCUUUUGUUCAGUUGUUGAUUUUAUCAGUAAUGACAAAGAAGAUACUGGAAGCCUACUUUAACUAAAGAAUUGGAUGAAAAUGGGUGGUCCUCCCCUCACUUUGCUGCAUAUGUGGGCUGUGAUCCAACAAUAGUGAGGCAACUGUAAAAUAUUUACAUAAUCACAUAGAUUAAUCAUACAUGAUUAAAUGAUACUAACAAUAGGAAAUCACUAUAAAAAACAUACCUGUUUGAGCCAUGAUAAAAAACCGUGAUUGAUUGUUGCAACCAAGUUUUCCUCUCUAUAAUCUUGAUAACAGCUAUGGUGGCUCUAUGGGAAAGCAGAAAAACCCUUUUUAUUUAGAUUAGAGAGGGGACUUAUCAUAACUCAAAUUGGAUUCUCAUUGGGCCCUCCCAUAAUGGGUUUUAAUGAGACCCAUAGCCUACACUUGCCACUCAACUGAGCUUCUACUCAAAAGAUGCAAAACCCAAUCCAAAAUGUGAUCACUAGUUAAUUGGGCUCAUUAUAUAAUAGACUAUCCAUUAACCCGUUUUUGUAAAUACAAAUUAUUCAAUUAAUGUUAGCCCAUAUAAAAAUCUUUCCAACAUUUUCCCACUUGGGCUACAUUAAUUGUUUUUUAGGAUUCUUUAAAUUCAUUUUGAAAAUAAGACUCUCGGGUUAAGUACAAAAAAGUUUAUUUUGUGUGGCCAUACUUUUUUUUUUUUUUUUUAAAGAAAUGAUAGUUUAUAAGUAGCAUCUUGUUAAACUUAUCCGGUCCAACAUGGUCUUAAUAUUGGACUAUGAUGGUCUAUAUGUUAAUCUCAACAAACAUAAUGCCCCUUAUAGUCACGAAUAUUUAUAACCAUAUCGACAUGGAUCGUAAACCCAAUAGUGUAGUAAGAAAUCAAUGCCAACAUGUGAUCAUCAUCUAUAUGCAUUGUUUCUUAUCAGUCCUCAUUACAAUUUACCAGCAAAAUGAAAUUGUAAUUGCAAUUUCUCAACAAAGUGAAAUUGCUGCAAUUUCUAAACAAUAUGAAAUUGCUUGACUUUAACAAGUCAUAUGUCACAAAUAGUGCACCACAAGAUCUCAAAAUAGUGGUAUUUGUGACAUCCAAUAGUAUACAACUGUAAUUCUUAAGGUUCAAUAUCUCAAGAUACCAUGUUGUAUGUAAUUCAAUUACGACAUGCUAUAAUAUAAUACUUAAUUAUGAUGAUCAUAAUAAAAAGAUUUUAAUUUUGCAAGUCGCAGAACAAUAAUGAUCAAUGUUUACAUAAAACAAUAAUUGAAAUAAGGGAAAUCACAAAAGCUCCUACUAAACCAAAGAAUCAAAAGACUUAAUGACACCUAUAUUUACAACAUGUUCCUUGAAUGUUAUGGGCUUUAAACCUUUGGUUAGAGGAUCAACUAGCAUAGACUCAGUUCUUAUGUGCUCAAUCACAAUAUCUCCUUUCUUCACUAAGUCCUUGACUAUAAGGUACUUAAAAAAAAUAGAUUACAAAAAAAUGAGCGCAUAGGAAAAAAAAUGGGGCUCAAAACGGACACCGGAUGAGGUUACAUGUGCCUCACACACUUGACCCGCAGGUGGGGAACGUGUGGCACAUGUGGCAUGUGUUGGAGGUCAUCUUCAACCUCCAGCAUUGGGUCAAAAAUUCUGCAAUACGGGUCAAAUGACCUGGUUGCAACCCGGAUUACAAACUAUUGAAAAAAAAAGGUUUUUUUGAUCGAGAUCUUGAGGGUUUUAAACUUUAGGUUGUUUCUAACAAUUCUAGGACAUUUAAUCAUAAAAAAAAAACAACUUAAAAAUCUCCAUAAUUGAUUAACAAAAUUCGGUUUUUCAUACCUCCAUAGCUAAGAUCGAAAAACUCUAUUUUAACACCUAUUUUAGCCCCAUUUUACAUGUAUUUUUACCUUAACAAUAUAAGAAAUCUCUCUAAAAAAAUUAAUUAAACAAAAAAACUUCUCAAUCUUGCUCAAUUUUUUUUAAAAAUAUAAAACGAAUUUUCUAGGGUUCAUACCCAUAUUUUCGAAUUUUCAAUUUUCACCAAAUUGAGCCAAAAAAUAGAAAUUGAUGCUACAUAUCAACUAUAAUAUAUGUAAAUAACAAAAUCUAAGAGUUUAAUUUGAGUAAAACACAAUAAUUUGAACAAAUAAAUUUUUUCUUGAAUCUUUAAACAAGAAAAUUUUGAAAAUUUAAAAACUUAAUUACUCCCAAUUUAAACAACGAAAUUGCACAUAUGAUAUAUCAAUUUGAAGCUUGUGACAAGAGGAACAAAAAAGCCUAAAGUGUCACAAUCAAAAGAAACUAUAAAAAAAAACAUACACAUUCAUGGAUCACAGAUUCGGCUCCGAAAAUAAAAUAAAAUAAGAAACUAAAAAUUUUAUUUUUGAUUUCCAAUUGUAGAUCCUAAAUCAUGUAAAUUUGGCUCUGAUACCAUAUGUAAAAUAAUUUACAUAAUCACAUAGAUUAAUCAUACAUGAUUAAAUGAUACUAACAAUAGGAAAUCACUAUAAAGAACAUACCUGUUUAAGCCAUGAUAAAAAACCGUGAUUGAUUGUUGCAACCAAGUCUUCCUCUCUAUGAUCUUGAUAACAGCUAUGGUGGAUCUAUGGGAAAGCAGAAAAACCCUUUUCAUCUAGAUUAGAGAGGGGACUUAGCAUAACUCAAAUUGGAUUCUCAUUAGGCCCUCCCAUAAUGGGCUUCAAUGAGACCCAUAGCCUACACUUACCACUUAAUUGAGCUUCUACUCAAAAGAUGCAAAACCCAAUCCAAAAUGUGAUCACUAGUUAAUUGGGCUCAUUAUAUAAUAGACUAUCCAUUAACACGUUUUUUCAAAUACAAAUUAUUCAAUUAAUGUUAGCCCAUAUAAAAAAUUUUCCAACAGCAAUUGCUAGAGAAAUCUGACAGGUAUGUUGUCUAUCUAGGUGUUGAAGACCAUGAAAUUGGAAACAGGACAACUCUUCACAUUGCAGCGAGCCGAGGCCAUGUGGACGUAGUGAAGGUGCUGCUGUCACACUUUCCAGAUUGUUGUGGGAAAGUUGAUGAUGAGGGCAAUAAUGUUUUUCACUUGGUUAUGCCAGAAAAGAAAAUAUUUGUAACUUCGGGUUUGUCAAACAUUCGCUAGUUAAGGGUGAGAGGUCUCAUGAAUGAGAAGAAUGUUGAAGGAAAGACACCCAUCCAUCUGUUUCACAAUUCUCCCUCGUCUAAAGAUAACAACAAUUUCAUACCUUCGGAAACGACGUUCACGUCGAUAGUGGACACCUUAGUUAAAGGAUUUUUGGAAGAGAGAAAUUGAAGAAUUAUUACUGCUGAUUCUCAUUGAUAUGGUUAGUAUAUAUACAGAUUGCAUGAGCACGAAAAUAGGAAACUGAUUACAAAGAAAUAGGAAACAAAAUAAAUUGAGUAACUAUACAAAUAAAUGGUAUAACUACAAAUAUUCCAAAAUAUUCAAAACUUGGAAAUCCCUUGAUUUUCUCCCUUGACUUUCUCAACUUGAUUGUAUAUCCUUAUCAUUAGUAAGAUUAAGGGUAACAUGUUUCAUGCGCGAGUGAAAGACCGGAUUGGAACAGAGAUUUGUUGCACCAACAUUAUCACAAUAAAUAACUGGUUGUUGGGGAAGAGUGACACCGAGUUCGGUGAGGAGAGAGCAAAUCCAACGAAUUUCUGUAGCAGUAGAGGCCACCGAUCGGUAUUCAGCCUCAGUGGAAGAGCGAGCCACAGUUCGCUGUUUCUUAGAGCUCCAAGAAAUAGGGUUGUGACCCAAAUAGAUUAUGUAUGCACUGGUGGAGGUGAAAUCAUCUUUGUUACCUGCCCAAUCAAAGUCAGAAAAGGCAUGAAGUGCUAGUGGGGAGGUCCGACGAAGUGUGAUGCCGUGGUCUAAGGUGCCACAGAGAUACCGCAGCAGACGCUUGACUGCAUUCCAGUGGUCACUUGUUGGUUGAUGCAUAAACUGAGAGAGUUUGUUCACCGUAUAGGCAAUGUCCGGCCGAGUGAGGGAGAGAUACUGGAGGCUACCAACCACUGUUCGAUACUCGGUCUGGUCAGAUAGUGGGGUUCCUGAUUGUAAAGUGAGAAUUGGACUAGUUGCUAGUGGUGUAGGAGCAGGCUUGGCUUCAGUCAUGUGAGUUAUGUUAAGUAGAUCGGCAAUGUAUUUGCGUUGACUGAGGAAAAUACCAUUGGUGUGGGAGGUAACUUCCACUCCAAUGAAGUAUGUCAGGGGGCCAAGGUCCUUGAGAGAGAAACGCUGAGAAAGUUGUUGAAUGAAAGUCUGCGCUGCUUCAACAUUAUUCCCAGUGAUAAUGAUAUCGUCGACAUAAACUAACAGAUAAAGAAUGGUGCCAUGGUUAUUGAAGAUGAACAAGGAGGUAUCGGCAAUGGAAUUGAUGAAGCCAAAUUGGAGAAGAAAUUGGCGCAACUCAUGAUACCAGGCACGUGGGGCUUGUUUGAGGCCAUAGAUAGCCUUGCGUAGCUUGCAGACAUGAUGAGGAUGAUCACGAUCAAUGAAGCCCGGUGGUUGAGACAUAAACACAUCCUCAGUGAGAGUGCCCUGAAGAAAGGCAUUGUUGACAUCAAGUUGUCUUAGUGACCAACCCUGGCUGACCGCAAGGCUGAGAACAAGGCGGACAGUGGUAGGUUUGAUGACGGGACUGAAGGUUUCAGAGUAGUCAAUGCCAGGGCGUUGGUGGAAGCCUUUAGCAACCAAUCGAGCUUUGUACCUGUCUAUGGAGCCAUUAGGUAAAUAUUUAGUGCGAAAGAUCCACUUACAACCAACCAAAUUUUGAGUGGGAUGAGAUGGCACUAGGUCCCAUAUCCCAUUACGUAGUAAAGCAUCAAACUCUGCAGACAUAGCUUGUCGCGCACNNNNNNNNNNNNNNNNNNNNNNNNNNNNNNNNNNNNNNNNNNNNNNNNNNNNNNNNNNNNNNNNNNNNNNNNNNNNNNNNNNNNNNNNNNNNNNNNNNNNNNNNNNNNNNNNNNNNNNNNNNNNNNNNNNNNNNNNNNNNNNNNNNNNNNNNNNNNNNNNNNNNNNNNNNNNNNNNNNNNNNNNNNNNNNNNNNNNNNNNNNNNNNNNNNNNNNNNNNNNNNNNNNNNNNNNNNNNNNNNNNNNNNNNNNNNNNNNNNNNNNNNNNNNNNNNNNNNNNNNNNNNNNNNNNNNNNNNNNNNNNNNNNNNNNNNNNNNNNNNNNNNNNNNNNNNNNNNNNNNNNNNNNNNNNNNNNNNNNNNNNNNNNNNNNNNNNNNNNNNNNNNNNNNNNNNNNNNNNNNNNNNNNNNNNNNNNNNNNNNNNNNNNNNNNNNNNNNNNNNNNNNNNNNNNNNNNNNNNNNNNNNNNNNNNNNNNNNNNNNNNNNNNNNNNNNNNNNNNNNNNNNNNNNNNNNNNNNNNNNNNNNNNNNNNNNNNNNNNNNNNNNNNNNNNNNNNNNNNNNNNNNNNNNNNNNNNNNNNNNNNNNNNNNNNNNNNNNNNNNNNNNNNNNNNNNNNNNNNNNNNNNNNNNNNNNNNNNNNNNNNNNNNNNNNNNNNNNNNNNNNNNNNNNNNNNNNNNNNNNNNNNNNNNNNNNNNNNNNNNNNNNNNNNNNNNNNNNNNNNNNNNNNNNNNNNNNNNNNNNNNNNNNNNNNNNNNNNNNNNNNNNNNNNNNNNNNNNNNNNNNNNNNNNNNNNNNNNNNNNNNNNNNNNNNNNNNNNNNNNNNNNNNNNNNNNNNNNNNNNNNNNNNNNNNNNNNNNNNNNNNNNNNNNNNNNNNNNNNNNNNNNNNACAGACCAUGGAGUGAAGCCCAACAUUGGUGGCAUGAGCAGAUGCCGGUAGGGGUGAAGGGCUUAUCUUGUUGCGGAGAGAUAAUUCUUUGUUGAUGAGUUUUUCAUGGAGUUCAUCAAAAGAGAUGGUGGAAUCACGACCGUUGACAGCAUCAAUGAUGGACUGAUAAUUUUCAUCAAGGCCUUCAAGUACUUUUUCAAUCAGAUCUUCUUGGUCAAGAGGCUUACCAAGAGCAGCAAGUUCAUCGGCCCGGGUUUUAAUGGACUGCAUGUAGUUUGUAAUGGACUGAGAACCUUUGGUGAUGUUUUUAAGAUGGUCUUUGAGUUGCUUGAUAUGGCCACGAGAUGGGCGAGCAUAGGUGUUGGCCAAUAUUUGCCAGGCUUCAUAAGAGGUUUUUGAUUGGGUGAUGAGAGGAACUAGAGUAGAUGAGAGAGUGCCGACAAGGGCUCCAAAUAUUAGUUUGUCUUGACGUAGCCAUGUUUGGUAUGCAGGGUUAGUAGAGACAACAUUAUUGGUGGUGAUGGUGGUUGGAGGAGCAGGGUGGGAUCCAUCAAUGAAUUUUUGUAGAUCAUAGCCGAUGAGAAUGGCUUCCAUUUGGGUUUUCCAAGAAAGAUAGUUGGUGGGUGUGAGUUUAAUGGAGUUAUGGAUAGUAAUCAUGGUUAGUGGUUUUGUGGGUUCCUGGGCAUUAGGAAUGAUGAGUUGAGAAUUCUUAGUGGCCAUUGGAAUGAGGAGGAUGAAAGGCUUGCUGAAGAUUGAAGAACGUGGCUGGGAAAAAAAUUAAAGAACAAACCUUUGCUCUGAUACCAUAAAGGAUUUUUGGAAGAGAGAAAUUGAAGAAUUAUUACUGCUGAUUCUCAUUGAUAUGGUUAGUAUAUAUACAGAUUGCAUGAACACGAAAAUAGGAAACUGAUUACAAAGAAAUAGGAAACAAAAUAAAUUGAGUAACUAUACAAAUAAAUGGUAUAACUACAAAUAUUCCAAAAUAUUCAAAACUUGGAAAUCCCUUGAUUUUCUCCCUUGACUUUCUCAACUUGAUUGUAUAUCCUUAUCAUUAGUAAGAUUAAGGGUAAGGCCAUGAAAAUUUUGGAUUUCCUAUGUACUGUUAGUUUUUGACAUCCAAUUUAUUUGACCACUUUUUUUGGAUUUUUCUCUUAAAAACAAUUGCACCAUAGAUUACUAUUUCACCCCUUUUAAUUGAAUAUCUAUCCACGCUUUCAGAGACGGAUGCGAAGUUCCAGAGUUAGUAUGAGACCCUUGGGUUCGCUAGAGAUCAAGGAAGACAUUGGAAACAGUGAAAGCAAAGAAAGUGAAGAAAUAUUUGAAAUAAAGAAAACAAUGAAAAGCCAUAUGAUGGUGGCGGCACUCAUAGUAACUGUAACCUUCGUGGCAGGUUUCACACUACCUGGUGGUUACGUUCAGAACGAUAGCAAUAACCAGGGCAUGGCAGUCUUGUCGCUCUCUACCAAUGGCACCAAGGGCACGGACCGAGACAGGGCAACUGCAACAAUGGAAAAUUUCGAAAGUUUUGUAAUGGAAGAUAGCAUAGCCAUGUUACUUUCUAUGUGUGCUAUUGGUAUCUAUUUCUUUGCGUCAUUCCCUAUAAAAAAAUAAGAAGACUGUCCAGGGAUACUUAUGGUACGGCUAUGCGCUCACCAUGUCUGCGAUGACUGCAAUGGUGUUUGCAUUUGUUGAGGGCCUGCGAGCUGUUCUACAUCCUUCUUCAUUGCUUGAAGGUACCACCACUUUCAUCCUUCGGGUCUUCUUGCUUUUGUUUUUGUUUCCAAUAUUUCUUACAUUGACACCCAACCCAAGGUGGAUUUUGUAUGGCAAAAAAGUAAAGUCUUAUACAUUAAUGUAAGUGAUUUUAAACAUGUUUCAAGUCUUACAUAUUGUUUAUGCUUUUACUAUAAAGUUUCCUAUUACAUUUGUAAAUUACCCAAAAAUGUGUAUUUUUUUUUUUAAACAAUGAAUAAAUGCAUUCCUCAAUAAAAGUAAAUGUCCAAGAAAAAAUUCCCUAAUUCUUGCUCGUUCAUUGAAUUUCCUUUUCUAAGCGAAUUAUAAAUGGUUAUAUCAAUAGUAAAAAUAUAAAUGGUAUAUAAUAAUAAUAAUAAUAGUAUUUUAGGGGAAUAUGAAGAUUAAUAUAGAUUUUAAACAUUAGAUAUUUCAUCAACAAUGUCUCAUUCCAUAAUAUGGAUUCUAAAUACUUAUAAUAUGGAUGGACGUGAAUGAGUCAAAUUAUCUAUCAGUGAAUUAUUUCUUUAAGAAUUGUCAAAAGAUGUUCCACCUUAUAUUCCCUAAAAGCAGUAAAAAUUAUAAAAUAUGAUCUUAAUAAAACCAUAAGUUGUGCCUCUGUUAAAAAAAAAAAAUAAAGAAAAAUAUUUUUAGAAAAUAAAAAUUAUUAAUAAUAUUUUAUUUAAAUUAAAUUAUAAACAAGUACAAUAAUAUUGUGUCAAUUAAUACCAAAAUUUUUGGAUUAAAAAAAGAUAAAAAAUGAGGAUUAAUUUCCUUUUUGAAACAACUAUACAACCUAGCAAUUUUUACAAAUAAUUUGGAAUUUAAAAGAAGAUCGAACGGUUAUCAUAAAAAUAGUAGCCAAUAUAUGGUUUAGGUUUUGAUUUUUGAGACCUUGUGGAUUGAAUGAACUUUUUGUGGUGGAAGAACAAUUAUUGAAUUUUUUAUUACUUUUUUUAAAGGAUGUUUUUAAAUAUUUAAAUUUAUUUUAUAUUUGUAUAUAGAUAAGUUGUCCCCAUUUGAACAAGACUCACUUUUUAUUUGUGAAAAAAAUAAUUAAAAAAAAAGUUAGAAUUGCUACUUAUUUUAGUUUAUUUUUUAAAAGGGAAAGCAAAAUAAAAAAGAAAACCUAUGUGACAUUUUAUUCGGAAAAUAUAUGUCUGUAAAAACUUGAGUUCGGAUUCGAGGAUCGGGUUACCUAUUGAGAAGGUACGGUAGUGAGCUAUAACACUCUCUAAGCCUAUAUACAUACGUUCUCUACUAAUCAUAGAUACCAUGAAUAGAAUGAUAUGCAUAAAUAUAUAAAAAUUAUGAUAAAAUCAAAUCAUAAUAAUGGGCAAAAUAAAUAAAAAGAGAAAUACAUGAAUCAAUUUAUUAAGUUAAUUAAAAAAGAUUUUAUUAUUUCAAAUGUCCCAAUGCAAUUUUAAGAAAUUUUAAAAGAAUUUAUUGGCAUAAAAAAAGAAACAAUUUUGAGUUGGUGAUUUCAAUUUAUUUAUCUAAAAAAUGUUUCAAUUUACUUUCAAUAAGUGAUUUGAUUUAAUUUUGUUUGUAUUCAAUUUUCAAGAAAGUCAUUUAUAGUCAUUAUUAAAAAAAAAAAUCAUUAAAAAAAAUCAAUUUGAUUUUAUUUACAAUUAAAAUAAUUGUUACUUAUUUUGCUAGAAAAAAAGGAUGAAUUCUUAUGAUUUUAUUUAUAAAAGUAUUUCAAUUUAUUUUCAUUUAAGAAAAGUGGUUAAUAUGAAUUAUUUAAAAAAGAUUUUUAUGACUUUAUUUAUAAAAAAAAAGAGACUGUUAUAGCUUUAUUUAAAAACAAUAUUAAAAUUUAAUCCAAUUUUAAUAAUAAUAAUAAUAAUAAUAAUAAUAAUAAUAAUAAUAAUAGGAAAGUUUAUAAAAAAAGAUUGAUUGAAGAAGAGAUUUUAUUUUUGUUUGAUUUAAAGUAAAUUUUUUCAAUUCUAUUAAAACUAAAAAAAAUAAAUAAAAAUCUUUAAUUCUAUUUAUCUUUACAGAUUUGGAUUUUAUAAAUAAACAAAUAAAAGAAAAAGUUUAUCCAAUUUUAUUUAAAGAAAACCAAUUUUCACAUUUUAUUUAUGAAAACAUCCUAUUUUGAUUUUCCAAUUUUGAUUUUUAUUUUCUUUUAAAAAGACUUUAUUUGUUUGAAAAAGAAGUUUACACUUUAACAAUUUUAUCGAAAAGGAAAAGAAUUUGAUUUACUUUUAUUAUUAAAAAAAGAAGAUGCUUAUAAAUUAAUUUAAAAUUGAUAAAUCUAUAACCCUAAAAGAGGUACAAAUAAACAAGAAGCCCCUGAAGAGGCACAUAUAUUGAACAAGAAGCCUUUGAAAAGGCACAUAUAUAUUGAAUGAGAAGCCCUUGAAGGGGCACAAGUAUCUAAAAAUUGAAGAGAUCUCAAUGAGCCACACAGGAGAAACAAAGGACCAUAGUGGCAUUAUCAUAGAUAAUAUAUUCGCAUUCCAAGUGGCUAUGGACAUCAUGAGAAAUGAUGAAUAUCAAGAACUACAAACUGUGAAUGAAUGUCGAAAAAUGAAUGAUUGGCCAAAAUGGAAAGAAGCAAUCCAAAUAGAGCUAAACUCGUUAACAAAACGAGAGGAAUUUUGACCUGUAGUUCAAACACCUGGAAACAUAAAGCCUAUUGGAUAUAAAUGGGUCUUUGUGAAAAAAAGAAAUGAGAAUGAUGAAAUCAUAAGAUAUAAAGCACGACUUAUUGCUCAAGGUUUCUCUCAAAGACCUGGUAUAGAAUAUGAAGAAACUUAUUCCCCUGUAAUGGAUGCAAUCACACUACGUACUUGAUAAGUUUAACAGUCUCUGAAGGACUAGAUAUGUGUCUUAUAGAUGUUGUUACAACCUAUUUAUAUGGGUUUAUAGAUAUUGACAUAUAUAUGAAAAUCUCUGAAGGAUUCAAAUUACCUGAAACAACUAAUCCAAAACCUCGAAACAUGUACUCAAUCAAACUACAAAGAUCUUUGUACGUAUUAAAGCAAUCUGGACGUAUGUGGUAUAAUCGUUUGACUGAGUAUUUGUUAAAAGAAGGAUAUGUGAAUAAUUCAAUUUGCCCAUGUGUUUUUAUCAAGAAAUCAAAAUUUGGGCUUACAAUAAUUGCAGUGUAUGUGGAUGAUUUAAACCUUAUAGGAACUCUUGAAGAGCUCACAAAAGCAGCCAAUUAUUUAAAAAAGGAAUUUGAAAUGAAAGACUUGGGGAAAACAAUAUAUUGCCUCGGUCUGCAAAUCGAGUAUUGUUCAAAUGGCAUAUUAGUCCAUUAAUUGACAUAUAUAGAGAAAGUAUUAAAACGAUUUUAUAUGGACAAAUCACAUCCAGUCAAUUCCCCUAUGGUUGUUCGUUCACUUGAAGUGAACAAAGACCCAUUUUGUCCUAAAGAAGAAAAUGAAGAAUUGCUUGGUCCAGAAGUACCAUAUCUUAGUGCAAUCAGUGCAUUAAUGUAUCUUACAAAUUGUACUAGACCAGACAUAGCAUUCUUUGUCAGUUUGCUAGCAAGAUACAAUUUUGCUCCAACUAAAAGGCAUUGGAAUGAGAUUAAACAUAUAUUGCAAUACCUUUGUGGAACAAGUGACAUGGGUUUCUAUUAUUCAAAAGAAUCAAAAUCACAAUUUAUUGGGUAUGCAGAUGCAGGAUAUAUUUCAGAUCCUCAUAAAGCUUGAUCUCAAAUGGGAUAUGUCUUUACUUAUGGUGGAACGACAAUGUCUUGGAGAUCAGUGAAGCAAACAACGGUAGUCACAUCUUCAAAUCAUUAAGAAAUUCUUGCAAUUCAUGAAGUAAGUCGUGAAUGUGUAUGGCUAAGGUCAAUGAUCCAACAUAUACGAGAAACAUGUGGACUACCUUCCAUCAGAGGCAAUGCAACCGUGUUACAUGAAGAUAAUGCUGCCUUUAUUACACAAAUUAAAUGAGGAUUCAUAAAAGGUGACAGACCUAAGCAUAUCUCUCCUACAUUCUUCUAUACUCAUGAGCUCCAAAAGAAAUGUGGGAUUGAUGUUCAACAAAUUCAGUAAUGCAAUGAUCCAGCAGAUCUAUUCACAAAGGCGUUAUCUUCGACCAUAUUGAAAAAGUUAAGGUAUGACAUUGGAAUGCGAAGAUUGAGAGAUCCACCAUUUGAAAUGUUGAAGAAAUCAUAAUCAUGUUUAUAUGAGAGUGAGAAUGCUAAUAUGGAUAUAUUGCACUCUUUUUUCCUUCGUCCAGGUUUUGUCCCAUUGGGUUUUACUGAUAAGAUUUUUAAUGAGGCAGUUACCAUAUUCUUAUGAUCAUUCAAGGGGUAGUGUUAGAAAAUAUGAGAAUUUAUCGGAUUAUGAUAAUUUGUGGAUGAUCAACCAUAUUAAUGUAUAUCUCUUUGUGACUCCCUAUAAAAAGGAGAUACCUCUAAUGAAAAUCUAUUCUAAUCUCUACCUACAUUCUAAUUUCUCUUUCUUGUUUUCUUCUCCUUUUACUUUAUAAUUUUACAACAUUCACAAUUUUAUCCCAAAAAAAUGGAAUUUUUUAACUUUUAUUAAAAAGGAAUUCUUAUCUAACUCUACUUAAAAAAAAAAAAGAAUUUUGUCUUUUGAAAAAAAAAAAAAAUUAUAAUUUUAUAGGAUUUUAUCCCACUUUAAAAAAGAUUUUUUUUUAAAAAAUUUAUUGAAAGAGAUAACUUUGCGUAAAAUAAUGAAAUAAAAUUAUAAGUUUAUCUAAAAGGUUGAAUUUUGAUUUACUCUUAAUAAAGAUGGAUUUUUACAAUUUUAUUUACAAAACUAAUCAAAUUCAAUUUAUUUAAGAACAAAAUUUUAACAACUUUUAUUGGAAAAUGGACUUUUAUUUAUUUUAAAAAAAUUAUAGCUUUUAUUUAGAAAAUUAAAUUUUACAAAUUUAUUUACAAAAAAAAUAUUUGGAUUCAAUUCUUAUUUUCCAAAUAGUUUUUAUUAAAAAGAAAAGAUUUUUUAUUUUUAUUUAUUUUAUUUUUUAUAAAUUUUAUUUAAAAGGCAUUUCAAUUCAAUUUCCAUUAAAAGACAAUUAUCCAUUGGAAAGGAAAGUCUUCAUUUUCUUUAAUAAAAAUUAUUUAAUUUUAUAAAAAAUAGUUUGACUUUUUAUUUAUUUUAAAUAAGAAGGUUUUAAAAUUGUUAUUUAAAAAAAUGUUUGUGAAAUUCAUUAGUCAUGACCCUUUUUUUUUUUUUUUUUUUUUUUUUUUUUUUUUAUGAUGAAAGGAGAUUACGAAAUAGAAUACCGACAAAUAUGAUUGAAAUAUGUGCUACAAUAAUCUUUAAGACUAAACUUUUUAACAUCGUAAGGAAAGUUUGACCAUCAAAUGAUUGAAUUUAGAUUACAAAUACAUUUCUUCGUUAAAUAAUCUACUAUUCUAUUUGCUUUCUUAUAAAUAUAAUGGCAAUUUCCUAUAAAUAUGAUGACAAUCAUAAAUAUAUAAGUCCCAAGAUAACUUCAAAAUAUCCUUCAUUAGUAACAUAAUAGAACUACGAAUAUUACUUUUUUAUUUUUUUAUUAUUUUAUUAUAACAAUUUAUAACUAUUUUCGAGUCACCCUCAAUUUCUAGGUUUAAGAACCCAUUGUUCUUGACAGCUAACAUGCCAUUUCUUAAAGUAGUACAUUUUGCAAUAAUUAUUGAAGCAUUACCUAUAUGUUUACUAGCAACCAUUUUUAUGGUACCAUUAGAGUCUCUAAUAAUCCAUCUUGAAGUACUUUUAUUCUUUAUCCUUGAAUCAUCUAAAUUUAAUUUGAAUCUUCCAUUAAUUAAAGGAAUCCAACGAAUCCAUUUUUCAACAAUUCGAGGGACUUUGAGUCCUUUGGUUUGAAGAUAGGAGUCAAUCAUAUACUUCUGAAGAUUUUAAAAGUUUAAAGUAGCUUUCUCAAUGACAAGAAAGAGGUUGAGAUGAAUCUUCUUAAAUAAAACUUGAUUUCUAUGAAUUCAUACAUUCCACUAAAUAAUGGAAAAUUUUUCCAUAGGAUGCUUGUAAAUUUUGCAAUUAAUUUUAUAGUUUUUAUACAUUGUUUCAAGCCAAGAUAGGAAGUCACUUUCAUAGAAGAGAGGUGUAGGGCAAUUAUACUUGAUACAACCCCAAAUCCCUUGAACAAAAGGAUAAUAUUUAAAAAUAUGGUCAAUAUUCUCUAUUUUGUUUGCAAAGAUAACACAUUUGUAAGUUCCAACAUUCUAGCAAUUAAAAUCUCACAAUUAGCCAUGACUUUAGUUUAUCAAAAAAAUCAACUUUAACACUUUAUUUAAACAAGAGAAAGCAAAAAAAAAAAAAAAAAAAAAAAAAAAAAAAAAAUUUAUAAAAUUUUUAAAACAGGUAUAUCAUAUAGUGAACCAAUAAAUAGACAAUCCUUAUUCAUUCAAAUAACCUAUAAACAUUCCUUUAAUAACAAAAUAAAUAAAUAUUAAAAGAAAUUAUAACAAAAUAAUGGUGAAAUAUUUAUGAAAAUAAUGGAUGGGAAUCUCAAAAGAGCAUGUGGCAAUAUUGUGAGUUUCUAUAUCCUAUUGUGACAUUGAUUAUUUUAUACUGGGUUCAAAAUUUCGACUCAGAAGUUGAUUACUUUCUACCAUGUCUUAAGAUCUAGGCUCAUAAUUUCCCUAAUGAUUUUUCUGAUUCUGCUGGUAAUAAGUUUUAAGAUCAGCAUGCGGGAAUGAGUAUGCUUAGAUGUACUUAUUUUUAAGCUUUAGUUUAUAACAAUAUUGAAGUUGAAUCUUGGGUUCUAAUGAUGAUUUCUUUGUGCUCUAUUUUCAUAUCUUUUAAGUAGUGGUUUAGGCUAAGAAGAAGGGGAUCUUUAGGACCUCUCUAGUAUUAAUGAAAAUUAUUCAAAACUAGUUAAAUUUUCUCUCUACAUUUAAAUUCAAAUUCUGAAAAUUUCACCAUAAAAAAUUGACAUGGCAAAAAUUCAAACCAUUGAAUUUUGAAAAGCUACUCCAAAAUUUUGCCAAAGAUUUUCACCAUCUUUUCUUACCUUUCAACUGACAAUUUUUCGAAAAAUGAACCUCUAAAUCUGAAGUAUUAGUGAAAACCGGAUAUUACAUAAAUACAAGCAAUUGAAAAUCAUAAUGAAAGAUAAGAUAUGACGAUAAAGCAUGCACCCGGUAAUUUAUCCAACUAGGAGACUAUAUAAUUUAAGUUCAUACCCCACUCAAAAUUCACCAAGAAUCAUUCUUAUAUACAAACAUGAAAAUAUAUAUUAAUUAAAGGGUCGUGCCAUGUAGGAAGACCUUCCAUUAAUUUCACGGUUGUCAUAUGAGUAAAUGACAUCCCAUCAAGCCCUUUAGCCUUUUUGAAGUUGUCUAAAUAAAUAAUAGAAGAAGAGGAAAAAGCAGCAGCAGAGGACACAAACAACGAUCGGAAGCCCAGAGAAAUGUGGUAGCACAGCGUACAUGCCGGUCAUGAAUGCCACCACCAUUGACCCCAUGCCAAGCAUGGUGAGAAGACAGCCCCAGACAUAGUGUUUUUCGAGAUACUCCACUUUUUCAUGAAUUGCCAUAUAAAAGUAAACAAAUGUAGCGGAUACCGAGAAAACCAUGGCUAAGGUAUCCGUCACAACAAAUGCUUUGAAAGCUGCUUUCUUUGCCAGGAUUGCCUUGCCAUCAUUUUCAUUGUAACCACCAGGCAAGGUGAAGCCAGCCGCAAAGGUUACAAUUGCUACAAGUGCUGCCACUAUCAAAUGAAUUUCACCCGUUUUCUUUAACUUAGAGAUGGAAUUGUCUUUACUGUCUUUACUUUCACUGCUAUCAUUGUCUUUCUUGUCACCCGGGACCCAACUUAAAGGUCCAAUACCCACUUCCUCACUUUUGCUGAAGAAAUCCAGGAAAUAUUUCUGAAAUUUUACAAAAUAAAAACUUUAGCCUUCUGAUCCCUUGUCAUGAGAAGAAGCAUAGUACAUGUGUGGCUGUUUAGGCAAGAAUGAGGUUCGAAAUUCAGUCCUCUCAACUGCUUCGGCUCGGUUUGUGAGUGAUUCUAUUCUAAUAAAAUCUAGGUUAUUGUGAGCUUGUAUUGAAGCAGUCAAUAGCGAUGUCUAUAUUAUUGUCUUGUGUUAUUAUCAUGUAAAUUAAUUGUGUAGUAACCAAAAUUAGGCAAGUAAAAAUAUAAUAUAAAAUUAUGUGUAUGUAUUUAGAUGUGUAUGAAUGUAACCGGUCAUAUGAAAUCAAGUUAGAGAUUUACCUUUUGCAGCCAACGGUCGUUGACUCUUGAAACUAUGUCCUUAGGGGUUAAGUUUUCAUUGUUCAGAGGCAUCUUAUCCACUCUAUCGUCCUUUACAAAUUCUUCAUCAUCAACUAGGUAAGAAGCAAGCAGGUGGAGGGGCGUGUCUCCUUGAGCAUCUUUCUCAUUUAAAAGUCCUCUCACUCUUAAUCCAUCAUUUUGUAAAAACAUCCCAGGAUAAUAAUCUUGCUUAUUCAUCAUGGCAAAGUGAAGGACAUUUUUGCCGUUAUCAUCCACCUGCUCGCAACAAUCUGGAGAGUAAGAUAGCAGCAGAUCUACUAUGUCUUUAUGGCCACGUUUAGCUGCAAUAAGAAGGGCUGUUUGCUUGCCACGUUUGAUUCCGAGGUAAGCCACAGAUUUAUCUGGUGAUUUGUGUAGUAAUUGCUUCACAAUGGUAGUAUAACCAAAGUGGGCAGCACAGUGAAGGGGAGACCAUCCAUUUUCGUCCACUUCUUUGAUUAGAGAUGGCUUCCAUUCCAAUAACUUCGUUGUUAUUUCUGAUAAUAAAUGAAUAUAUAAAGAUUAAAAUUAAUACAGAAAAAAAAAUAUAUUUAACAAUAGAUUGGAUGACUAAUUAACCACUCAGAUCUGCAUAUAGGUACCUUGGUCGUUGCGAAUUACAGCAGCAUGCAGAGCAGUUCUUGUGAUGUCCCACAUCGGAUAGGGGAGCAAGUUCCUGACGCUAUAUAUGUAGAGGCUCCUCUUAACUAAGUAGACGCGUUUUAAAACCGUGAGGGCCCCCUUGGGCCCAAAGCGGACAAUAUCUACAUGGUUGGGUGCGGGUCGUUACAAAUGGUAUCAGAGCCGAUCCCCGACCCCGGUGUGGGGUUUUGUUUGGCUCCGUAAGGGGUGUUUGUCUAUUUGGCCCCGUAAUCCCAUGGGACACAACGAGGACGUUGUGUCUGCAUGGGGGGGUAUUUGUGAUGUCCCACAUCGGAUAGGGGAGCAAGUUCCUGGCGCUAUAUAUGUAGAGACUCCUCUUAACCAAGUAGACGCGUUUUAAAGCUGUGAAGGCCCCUUUGGGCCUAAAGCGGACAAUAUCUACAUGGUUGGGUGCGGGUCGUUACAGUUCUACCCAAGAUGCCACUGUAAGCUGGUGAAGUGCUGGUGUUGUCUAUGAUUAUUUGCACCAAGUCUCCAUGUCCUCGCUCCACCGCCAUGUAAAGAGGCGUUCCACCAGAAAUAUUAGGACCAUAGGUAAACUGAGGGUCUUCCUCAAUCAAUAAUUUCACCACCUCAGGGUGAUGAUACCUCACUGCUUCAUGCAAGGCUGUGUCUUUCCCCUCAUUGGCCAUCCUCAGAAUGGCCUUAUCUACUCCAACCCCACUUUCAAUCUCAUCGGGAAGUGCUUUUGCGGCUUGAAUUAGAGCUUGGACGACUGUCAAAUGCCCUUCUCUUGCUGCAAGGUGAAGUGGGGUAUCUCCUUUCAGAUUGCUCUGUCCCGGUAGAGAUGAAGAGGAAGUCAAUUGAAGGAUCUGUUUGACAGAGUCCACUUGACCGAAUUGAGCUGCUAUAUGGAGGAUAGUGUUCCUUUUUGGGGUCAGUUGGAGGCCAAGAUCACAAGCUUCUAGCAUCUGCUCCAGCUUGCUGAUGUUGCCUUUUAAUGUAGCCGUGUACAAACCAGCAUCCAUGUAUGUGGUCUUGGUUUGGCUAUCAUCGUAAGCUGCAAAUGGGACCAAGUUGUCUAGAUCUGCACUAUCAUCAGAAGUAUUGGGUUGAUCCAUGCGUGACUGAGCGAUACUGCCUUCUUCAACUGUUCUAAUGCUUCUUAGUGAUGUGGAAUGAAGAUUAUCCUCCAUAGCAGAGUCUCAAAAAAAAAAGGAAAAAAAAGCUGAGUGGUUUCAAGAGCUGAUGCAGGAGAUGGUGGGAAGAGGGAACACCACUAAGGGAAUAUGCACUUUGUGUUUAGAAUUUGAAGGUGGGUGCAGCAAUGCUUUGCUUUUGCUUUCAACUCCGCGUUAGCUUGACCUUUGAAAAGAUUCUCUUUGUUUCAAAUUUGCUGUGCGAUUGACCAAGGCAAUAGAUAUGCGUGUUAGACUUCAAAAGGGGGAUGGAUUUAUAAAUUAUCUGUCCAUUCACUGCUAUCAUCACAACAUACUAAAGAUAAAGCAUGAUUAAUUAUUACAUCAUCAGAAGAGAGCACAAAAUUGGUCUCUUCUGGGCAGGUGAUGCGACUCUGCGUGGAAAUGAGUCAUUUGGAAGAGGUCAGAAUUCAUUAUUGGAUUAGUACAGACGUAUAUGAGGAUCCACUUGCCGGUGUGGGACCCCCCUAUCCACUUAGCCACCGACGUUUCCGUGUAGAACGGUGGAUGGCCGUCUCACCGCAUUCUGAGUUAGACUUCAAUUUUUUGGUGUUUUUUGGUGGACUCCGCCUCCUUUUUGUUCAUUUCAUUCUACUCCUAUCUUCGCUGCCCUCUUGUGUUUUCUUUUCAUACUUAGGUAGGUAGGUCUUAAUUAUUUUUUAGAUAGAUGUAUGAAAUUUGAAUUUUAUAAAGUGAAUUCCUAUUUUAUGAUUUUAUUUUUUAUUUUUUAUUUUUAUUAUUUUUUUUAUUUUUACAAAUAAACACACUUUUACCUGUACUUCACCAUAUCUAGUCGAGAAAGUUUUUAAAUAUCAUUCCUGUAAAAUGACUUUCACCAAAUAGUUGUCACAAGUUUCACUAUAGGAAUAAUGUCUUAUAGUAGCGGCCAAUGACUCUCACUAAAGGUCAUAAAUGGUGUGGCUACAAAUUAUCGUUGCACAAAAGUUGAUCGUCACAUACUGUAACUAUAAGUGGUGCAACUAUGUCUUGUAGCUGCAACUGUGAAGGUGACCGUGAGCACAAGUUAAAGCCAAUGUUUUCAGAAUCGAACCGGUCAUUGAAUCGAAAAAAUUGAUGGUUCACGGUUCAGUGGUCGGACCGACGGUCAAACUGUGGUUGAACCGGUGACAUUAUAAAAUUAAUAUUUUUUUUAAUAUUAUUAAAAAUAAACUAUUUAUAAGAAAUUAUAUAUAUAUGUAUAUAUAAUAAAUUUUUUUAAUAAUAUUUCAAUUUUAUAUUUGAUAUAUCAAAUAUAAAAAUAAUAAAGAUGAAAUAUAAAUGAAUUUUUACUUCUAGAGAGCCCAAUUUUAUGCCCAUUUAUACCUAUUUUUAGAGAAUCUAUUUGGACCCUUCAUUUUGAACCUAUUUAACCCUUCAUUUUCAAUUCAUCUCCAUCGUUCAUUCAGAAACAAACCCUAAAACCCAUCUCUUCCACCAUAAUCGCCUCCCCAUAUUUUCCUGUCUCUUCUUUUUCUCACUUUCUUCUUCUUCUUCUCCUCAAAAUCCAUCUCUUCCAGUUCCCAGCACAAUUGCACCUCCCCAUUUUUUUUUUCCCAUUUCUCUUCUUCUCCUCUCUUUCUUCUUCUUCUUUUUCUUCUCAUCUUCUCCCAUUUCUUUUCUUUCUUUCUCUCUUUCUCUCGUUGUGCUCACGCCUGUUGUCACCGCCAACCAUCUCGUUGCCAACAAUAGCUCCUACAACGAUCGGUUGCCUGCCAACAACAUCCCAUCCCCACUAUCCCACUAUCUCUCUCUCAUGGGAACAAAAAAAGUGUAGUGAACUAUUCGAUUCACUACAAACUGACCGAUUCACUUGGUUUAUUGAUCCACUCGGUUUACCGAUCCAAUCGUCAGUUCCAAUAGUUUGAGGCUAGUUUAAUAAGUCGUCGGCUUCAAAAGGUGGACCAGAUCGGAAAGAUCACUGGCCGAUGGUUGGACAGGUUAGACCAGUCAGUUCGAUCCAGUUUUUAAAACAUUGGUUAAAGCAAUAGUAGCAACCACAGGUAAAGUACAGCAAAAGUCAAAGCAAUAGUAGUAGCCACAAGAAAGUGCAACAAAUGGUUCUUAUAGUUGCAUGUUGCUUUGGCCCCUACUAAAUGACAUAUAAUUGCAGUUUGGAGUUGGCUGUAAUUAUAGGUUAUUAUUAUUAAUUUUUUGAGACUCAUUUACGAGGUUCUCCAUUAAAUCCUUCCAAACACUACAAAAAUGGUUUGGAUCAAAAGCAUUUUUCUUUUGAGAAUUUGAAUCUAGAUAUUUCGACAUUCCAUUCAAAAAUUUUCUUUUGAGAAUUUGAGUAUAUAUAAUUUUUCUUUUGAUAUUAUAUUCAAUUUCAUGUUGUAAUAGUAGUUGGACCUUAUACCAACCAACUCCUAACUGAAUGACAUUUUUUUCUGGAUCCCUUUCAACGCUAAUAGAAAUUGUAGAUUGUGUAAACAGAAAAAGAAAAAGGCUAACCCCUUCAAGAUUGGCACAAAAGCUUCAUGGUAUUAUUCCAAAAUUUAGAGAAAUACAAAACGCAUAGAACAACAAAAAUGCCUCUUCUAAACAUGAUAUCAAUAUUACAUUUGUAAACCUUUUUUCAGCAAAAAAAAAUAAUAGAACCAUCAAUGAAUAUAUAUAGAUGGUGAAGUCCCAGCAAAACAAACCUGCACGAACAUGAAAGAGAUCCUUUAGAUCAACAUAUUGAGGAUAUGACUUGACACUAAAAAAGACAGGCCAAGAAGCUUUGAGAUUUGAUGUUUUGUUAACAGAGAUCAAUGAGGACAUGGAACAACAUAUUUAAAUAGUUACUUUUUCUAUGAAUAAGAUAAAAGAAAUUAUACGAGUAACAAAACACCAAUGCUUAUUUGAACAAAAUGCCAUUCAUGGACAAAAACUAAAGAAACUAGCUGAGAUUAGGGGGCAAAGCCAUGAUAUUAUCAAUCAUCAUUCCGAUGCAAAACACUAGGCAAACUAUUAUUACCAUUGAGAGCGGCAUGAUAUAUUCGCUUCUCAACAAGUCUAAUAUCAGACAGUAUCAGAUUACCCUAUAGGCAAAACAGAAGCAACAAAUGAAAUGUGAGUUGCAACAAUCAGUUAAUCAAAAUCGCAUUUUUGAACAGUAUAGGAACCUAACAUUCAAACAAAAUGGUAUGAACAAGAAACUGUUAUUCCUUUCAUGAUACAAGGAUUUUUUUCCGUCAUAAAUUAGUAAUUACUUGAUACAGAGUAAAAUUUAAGGGUACAAUAGACAUUGCCGCCUCAUAAUUCAAGAACCAACCAUCAAGAAACCUAUGUUGAAAUCUAAUCACCACAUCCAAAUAGGUAUUUCUCUAGUCUCAACAAGUGACACCAAGAAAUUUUUGUAUCUAGUGAAUACGUUUGCACACACAUGUACAUGCACUCUCAAGUUCCAUAUAAAUUAUAAGUAGAUAUUGUAGGUACAUGGCUGUGACCAAUUCUUGUCCUAGCUAAUAGUUCUAGGCUAGCCCAAGGGUGUCCCUUUUCCAAAUUUUCUCUUUAUGAUGUUGUUUUAUCCCUCUAGGGAUAGAUUGUUAAUGGUCACAACCUCAACAAUCUUUUUCAUGUUUUCAUGCAUAGAUCAAUUUAAAAAGGAAAAAUGCAUUAUUUUCAGAGUUUGAACUUCCAUUAUUUUACCAUAGCUACAAUUUUUACAUUUUUUGGUAUUCAUGCCCUAGUUCAAUCACUCUCUUACUGACAUGUGCUUAUGGUGUUUUCUUACAUGCUUAUUGAUGAAAUCCUCCAUUCCCAAGUCCACAAUUCAUUCUAAGUUUAUCAAAAGACAUCAAGGCAUCAUAGAAAAUCAACAGUUCUAAUAUUAUAACAUCUCCAACAUUUGCAGAAAAUUAAAGCUGUGAGAUCAGGCUACAAAGAAGAAUAAUCAGAAAUAAAGCAUGAGUAAAAUUAAAAACAAGUAAUUAAAGGAGCAGCCAGCAUAAAAUUUGAUGAUCUUUAGUAGGAAUAUACCUUCAAAAUUUCUGGGAUUAAGGCAUUAGGACUUUUUGAAGAAAAUGCUGCAACUCGAGGAGUAGGAGGAUGAGAUCCCAAUACAGUUUUUGUUGGGAAAAUUCUAGAAACCAGUUUUCUAUUCAUGUAAAUGGAAUAGCCUUAAAUGAGAAACACAAAGUAAUUCAAUUAUCUCACACUGAAUCUUCAUCAUCAAAGAGUAGAAAAAAACUGUGUAUGAUUGAUAUAGGAUAGAAUGCUGUCCCUCAUGCCCCUUCCAACUCCACCAGCUUCUCUGACUACUGCACUCUUUGCCAGCUUGGAAUCUGUUGAACUCUCAGCAUGUUGGCAUACCAAAAUCUUCCAUCUAGCUUUAGUAUUAUUCAAGGAACUCUCCAAACAGUAGCUAGAGGGACAAGUAAACAAGAAAACAUAACUUGAGAUUUUUCAUUUAUGCAUUAAUAUUGUCAGGUCCAUUCUGCUUCACCUGGAUUGAUAGGGAGUGAAGUAUCCUGCAUAGGCUUCUGAAGCAGAGAUGAUGCUUGUGGAGGCAUUCAUUUCAAACAGACUCAGACUUUCACCCUAUUCAAUGACCAAGAAAUGUUUUAAGAGCCUGAGAAUAAUGUAUAAAUCUACAACAUGAACAAGGAAAUAACAUUACAUUGAAAUUAGCACCAUCUCCUAAUACGAUUUCAGAUAUAAAAUUCCUAUCUGUUGAACUAGCAGCAACAGUGAUCAUCCAUGGAGCAAGGUUUGUUGCUGAACCUUAAUUUCCUUCCUUUCCAACUGAAGCAACUACCACUACCCCAUGGCUAGCAGCAUGCAAUGACCCCAAGGAGAUGGCAUCAUUAAAAUAAUCUCCCUGCGGAGCUUCAUAACCUAAGGACAGACAAGAUAUAAAUGCCAUCUCUAAUUGCAUCAUCAAAGGCAGCUAGUAAGCCCACAUCAUAGCAACCUGAGUCCCAACAAGUCUUGUACACUGCAAUCCUUGCCAUUGGAGCACCUUCUCUAGCACCUCCAGCUGCCAAGCCCUUAUAAUUCCUGUUUGUCACAUACCGGCCUGCAGCUGUUGGGGCUGUGUGGCUGCCAUGACCAGAACUGUCCCUAGGGGAUUUGAAUGACACAGACGUUAUCGGAUCUUCUUCAGCUUCAUAGCCACUCAAAUAAUAUCUGGUUCCAAUCACUUUCCUAUGUCAUAAUUUUUUUAAAAGAGUAAGGAUCCCUCUGUCAAUAAAUUUCCAUCAAAUGAUCUUACCAAAUAAGGUGUUACUAUUAUAAAACCUGUUGCAAGAUGAUGCAUUAAAUGCUUCUCCUGAUUGGUAUUGUCCAUUCCAUCCAGUUGGUACUAAGGCAUUGUCCAUUCCUUCUAAAUAUUUUAUCAAAGGAAACAAGAAUUAGUUUGAACAGUGCCACAAUCAAGUCAAGAAAGAUUUAAAGUUUGAACAAUACCACAGUCAAGUCAAGAAAGAUUUAAACAUGCUCUUCGGAUGAAAUCCAGGUGAUCAUUCAACCACUCCAUCACAACUCAAACAAGACAUGCAUAGAAAACAAGUUCAAUUACAACAAUAUAGGGCAUAGAUAUUGAUCAUUGUUGAGAAACAUAUAUAGUUGCUAAAUGUACAUACAAACAUCUCAUUUUAAAGCCUGGUUUGGCCAUAUUUGAAGAAGUUUUGGAUUGUGCACCAUACCUAGAAGCCAUUAGUUGACUCUCUCUAGAUUGUGCACCUUGUUUUAUUAUGACAUCCUCUUCUUGUUCAAGUAUUUGGAAAAGCAAGUCCCGAAUUUUUCCUCCCUACAAAUGGAGAAGCAUUUAAAUUUUAAAAUAAACCCCAAAAGCAGGGAAGGAUUUUGUCCCUAUAUAAUAUGACAUAAACCUAUACUUUAAGUAGGCAGACAACAUUUUAGACUGUAGAACCUCAGGCGCUACCAACUCUCCUAAAAACAAUUGCUUGUAGGAAAGGCGCAUACCCUAACCUUAUAGUGCAUUCACCCAAGCGCCCACGGCGAAUACAAGGGGAGUUGAUGGACGCGGCCAACCCUCCGAUCUGCCAAUAAUCUCCCCCCUAGCGACACCCCUGGGGUUCGAACCUGUGACCUCGGCUCUGAUACCACUUGUAGGACCUCAGACGCUAUCAACUCUCCUAAAAGCAAUUGCUUGUAGGAAAGACGCAUACCCUAGCCUUAUAGUGCAUUCACCCAAGCGCCCACGGCGAACACAAGGAGAGUUGAUGGACGCGACCAACCCUCCGAUCUGCCAAUAUAGACUUUAAAUGGCUACAACCAGAUGGUGAUUGAAAAAUAAGCAGGAAAUAUCAGUCUGGUGGAUUAUGUUCCUCUCUGAACAUAUUUUUAGGAUAAAAAACUAUUAAAUAAAUCUCUUUUGCAGCGCAAUAAAUAAGUCUAACAGUUUCUUUAUGCCUGCUAAGGCUAGAGUUAAUACUUGAAGUGGGACAAAUCGCGAAUUGAAGAAUUUUGAAGAUAUAUCUUCCGAAGUUUCCUUAUGCCACUUUUUUAACUCCUCCUAAAGGUAACUACUGUUGGGAUUUUGUUUCUCCUGGAUCUUCGGUAACAAAUCGAAGACUUGGUUCGGAAUGUGGUCCACAUUCAUUCCAUCAAUUUAGGAAUGAGGAUUAACGUUCAGAACCACGUUCGCAUCACUACCCCAUGUUUUGUGCAUGCUCGAAGCAGACUCAGUGAUGGAGAGAGGCUUUAAAAAGGGGCAGAGCACUAAUGGGUAGUAGGGUCUCCUAAGCCUUCAAUAUUUUUCAGUCUUAAAACACCAUCUAAGAAGAGGUUGAGAAAGGUUUAGAAGCACCUGAAGCCAGAAAAAAAAUAAAAUUGAAGACGCUAUUUUUAACCUAUAAGAAUGGCAAUGGCGGGAGGUACUUUUUCGAUAUGUUUUCAAUUCCGCUUAUGAUCUAAUUGUUAUUUAAGGAUUGUUAUGAGCAUGAUUAGAUAAUUUAUGUCUAACAUUUGGUAUCAGAGCUUUUGUAUGCCUUUGUCUUAUUCGUUUUUACAAUAUGUGUUUUUAAUAAAAAAAUACAGUGAGUUUUGGUAUUUUGGGGUUUAUAGUUUUUUAGAAGUUUUUAAUGAAAAAUAUCGUUAGAAAUGAUUAGGAGAUGAGAUUUCUAAUAUUUUAGUGUUUUAAAUCAUCAAUCUUCUAUCUAGAAUACGUGGAAAUUGUUGGGUUUCAUUUCGAGUCACAAAUGGGUCAAACAAACCCGGUUGAAGGUAGAAGACAACUACAUAGGCUUGUCGUUUUGACUGUAAACAAACAAGAAAUAAGUGAAAAAGAAAUAAGAAAAUGGGCAGCAAUAGCCUAGUUGGUCUUAACCUUGCCUUUCCCCAAUCAUUGCCCAAGUUCAACUCCUCCCAACAACAAUCUUUUAUUUUUAUUUUUAUUUAUUUAUUUAUUUAUUUAUUUAUUUGUGAAAAUUCAUAAAAUUUAGUGUUUUAAGAUAUGUUAAUUUAUGGGUUUCUUUAUGGAUAUUUUAUGUGCUAAAUUAUUUAUUUUUGUUAGUUGUAAUGUAUAUUUUUAUGGUUUAUUAUGCAUACAACAUUAAGUUAAAUAAUUUUGCACAUUAAAUUGAUUCUUAAAGGCUCUUUAUGGAUUUAAUUUUAGAUAUUUAUGUGCUUAUAAUAUUUAUUUCAUAAUUUUGUGUAUAUGAUAUAUUGUUUUAUUAUACAUGCAAUAUUGAGUUGAAUAAUAUUAGUACAUUGAUAUUGAGUUUUGUGUACAUAUUGCUUAUGGUUUCAUGCAAUUUAUAUAAGCUUUUCUUGUGAAUUAAUUAAAUGUCAAGUGAUCCAUAUAAUUUUAAUUAAUUAAGGGGUAGUCACAACAUCUUUAAUUAUGCAAAAUUAUACAUUAAGCGUUUUAGAAUCACAUAUAGAAAAAUGGCAUUACGGAUAAUUAAUUAUAUUUGAUAUAAUAAAAUUUUAUCCCACAUGAAUUUUUUAUUAUAUUUGUAUGAUUAAUUAGGAUGGAACAUCAAAUUAUAUUUCUUAAUUACCCACAGGAAUUAGGAAAUGAAACAUAAUUUGAUAGUUUUAUCAUAAGGUUUUACAUGGAUUAAUUGAAUUAGAACUUUAGCCCACAUGCAAGUUUUAUGCCACUAGAUUCAUAAUUUUGGAACAUGAGUUGCAUUGGUAAAACAUGAUAUAUGGUUAUUAGUCUCAAUUUUGAAUUAUAAAUAUGUAUGUUUAAUUUUUGUGCAGUGAUGCAACCUGCGAAUUUCUCUAAUAUAAAAUGUAACAUUCCCGAAUUGAAAGGUGAUAACUGUAAGGUUUGGAAUGAGAGAAUUCUCUUUCAUUUGGGGUGCAUGGACAUUGAUUAUACUAUCAGGAAAGACAAGCCAACCAUUACUGACACCGGUACUACAACAGAAAAGGCUCUUUAUGAACAAUGGGAGCGAUCAAAUCGCCUUAGUCUAAUGUUCAUAAAGACCAAAAUCUCUGAUGGUAUUCGUGGUUUUGUCGAUCAACAUGACAAUGUCAAGGCAUUAUUGAAGGCUAUUGAUGAGCAAUUUGUGACUUUAGAUAAGGCACUUGCCAACACCCUGAUAAUGAAGUUUUCAUCCUUAAAGCUCACCAAUGUGAGUGGUGUGCGAGAGCACAUAAUGCAGAUGAGGGAUAUUGCGACACAAUUGAAGACACUUGAGGUUGAAAUGUCUGACUCAUUCCUUGUGCACUUUAUUUUGAACACUCUUCCAUAACAAUAUGGACCCUUCAAAAUCUUUUACAACACACAUAAGGAUAAGUGGUCAAUUAAUGAGCUUCUAACCAUGUGUGUUCAAGAGGAGGGAAGGUUGAAAAUGGAAUUGGGUUAGAGUGCAUUAAUAAAAAUGGUAGGAAAAGAUCAUAAUCAGGCCAAAAAGAAAGGGAAAGGUAAAAUACCACCCCAAGGUGGAAUCAAGAAGGUCAAUAGAUGCUUCUUUUGCAAGAAGAAAGGGCACAUGAAAAAGGGUUGCACCAAAUUCUAGAAAUGGCUUGAGAAGAAAGGUAAACCAAUCUCAUUUAUUUGUUAUGAAUCUAAUAUGGUUGAUAUUAUUUAUAACACAUGGUGAAUUGAUUCUGGUUCUACAAUCCAUGUUUUGAAUAGCUUGCAGGGUAUGCGAAACCUGAGGAAGCCAAUGCUAAGUGAGCAAUGCAUUUAUUCAGGAAACAAGAUGCGUUCACAUGUGGAGGCUGUUGGAACAUGCAGUUUAGUUUUAAGUAGUGGUUUUAUUUUUGAUUUAGAAAAGACAUUUUAUGUUCCAAGUUUCUCUAGGAAUUUGAUUUCAAUUUCAAGAGUUGUACCUUUAGGUUAUUCCUUUAGUUUUUAUGAGACAUCUUUCAGUUUGUUUUAUAAAUCUAAUCUUGUUGGAAAUGGUACAUUGUCUAAUGGUCUUUUCUCUAUCAAUUUGCAAAAAUGAUACCACUAAUAACACUAUGCAUGUUCACACUAGUACAAAACGAUGUGUUAUGAAUGAAGAUUCCUCUAUGUUGUGGCAUCGGAGAUUGGGACAUAUCUUCAUACAAAUAAUUAAGAGAUUACUAAAUGAUGGAGUGCUCAGUACUUUAGAUUUUACUGAUUUUGACACUUGUGUGGAAUGCAUUAAGGGAAAAUAGACCAACAAGUCUAAGAAGGGUGCCAAGAGGAGCAUAGACAUAUUAGAAAUCAUACAUUUAGAUAUUUGUUGUCCAAACAUGGACGUAUAUGGUCCGAAAUACUUCAUCUCCUUCAUAGAUGAUUACUCACGAUACAUGUAUAUCUACUUGCUUCAUAACAAGAAUGAAGUGUUGGGUGCCUUUAAAGUUUUUAAGGCUGAAGUAGAGAAACAAUGUGGAAAGCAAAUAAAGAUUGUGAGAAUAGAUAGAGGUGGAGAAUAUUAUGAUAGAUACAUCGAGGAUGGACAAGCACCUAGUCCAUUUGCGAAGUUUCUUCAAGAGCAUGGGAUAGUUGCUCAAUACACCAUGCCUGGUUUCCCAGACCAGAAUGGUGUGGCUGAAAGAAGAAACCGAACAUUAAUGGACAUGGUUAGGAGUAUGCGUAGGAACUCCAAGCUUCCUGAAUCCUCCUGAAUCCUUGUGAACUGAAGCUUUUAAAAUGACAGUGUAUAUAUUGCAACUUGCUCUGGGCUGCUUGUGUAUGGAGAUGGAAUCGAGUGUGCAGUUGAGUCAGUCCCUGCAGCUCCUUCAAUUGCUAGUUUGGGUCGUGGUAUCCGAAGCUUACACCAAGCUUCUCAGGCACGAUGCAAACUGACAGCAAUAAGAUACAUAAAUCUAUAGAAUCCCUAAUGUACAGGUUCAAUAAAAUAAGAAUUUCAAAUUUCCCUUUGAUGUAUAUUCAUUAAUGCCUUCCAUAAAGUGAUGUUGUUUGGAUUAUAAUCAGUGAAAUUUCUGAGAUUUCUUCUGUGCAUAUAGAUCCUACGAUAUUGUUUUGUUUUGUGAUGGGUGGUUGAUUUUUGUUGGCUCUUUUGUAUUCUGUAGCUUCUUUUUGAUCAGAUAUUCCAUAGCUUCUAAAUGCACAUAAAUUUUUUUUUUGAUGCUUGAGAGAAAUUUUAGGAUACCUUUUCCAAUGUUGAUGAUGGAAUGUGUCCUAAUUCUUUUAGGCAGAGCCAACUUGAUUCAAAAUUAUACAGAAAAUUUUUUGAAGGAUCUUCAUUCUUUACUGAUGAUGCGUUUCUAAUUGUAUUCGUCUUGUAUUAUUUCCUGACUUUUUUCUUCAAAAUUCCUUUCUAAUUCUGAUAAUUUUCUUUUUCCCGAAUAAUAAAUCAUGAGCUGGAAGUGAUUCUUGUUGUCCUCAACGCUCUCGAAUUUUUAGAGAAGGCCAGUUCAAGGCUUAAUUAAUUGUGUGCAUUCCCACUUUUUGUUCUAAUUAGCAAAUUAUUUGUUAAGAUAGUGAUUGCUGUAGUAUAAGCAAAUUCCCAUAUCAUUUCUUGUAUUAAAUAAAGCGUCACAUUUUUAAGCUGAUUCAAAAUUCCCCUAAAGCCUAUAUUUUCUGUUUAUUUGGUGACUGCGUCUAUAACAAUUUGGGGGUAUGUAAUUGGAUUGAUGAAAUGACUGGCAUCAAACUGUGAGUUGACAGGUGAUGUUCAUCUGAAUAUCCGAUUGCAAAUGGUAAUAUCCACAGGGGAAGCUUCCUGGGAUGAGCACCUUGAGUAUGGUUAAGGAUUUUGUGGAUAAGAACCAAGUGGUAUUGGCUCUUAUGACCUUGGAAGCUGUUCAAUGGUCAAGGUAUGAAUAUUUUAUGCUUAGCUUUCCUACUUGUUUUGAUAGGUAUAUUAGCUUAAUUAAUUUUAACAUUGACUGGUGUUAUUCAUUACUUGUAAAGAUAAGGAUUGUCUUGCAAUUCCAAUUCACUGCUCUCUUCCACUCCAUUACCUGCAUUCAUUGAGGUUUUCAUGGAUAAUGUUCAUUCAGAGUCUGCAAUUUCCUGUCCUUGGAUCAGUUUUUGAGUCUUCCAAUUGCAUCAAAGUAAACAAACGUGAUAGUCCUACAAUUUAUCUAGCAUUGAACAUGAUUUCAAGUCUUAACUAAAAUACAGAGUUAGGUCUUUUCUGACUCAACCGAUCCUCCAUUCACAAAAUUUUGCAAUAUUUAUACCAUAUACAAAUAUGAAAGAAAAGGCAAGAGGUCACACUUGUACUUGACAAACACAGCAGUUUACUCUCAUCACUGGACUCUGCAUCAUAAACUUAAUGUAAGUGUUACUUUAACUGUCAUCCACAAGAGAGGUCGUGUUAUUAUUUUAUUUGUCAUGCAAAUGUUAGGAUGCAUUCAAUGGUUUUGAUCAUUAUGAUUAUCCUGUUGGUUCCCUUUCUAUCUGUAGCCCAUUUGGGGAGGUUUGCUGCUUCCUGGAGAUCACUCAACUGCCUCUCAGCUAGUUGGUCAAUUGGAAUCUCUUCUGAUGGUUAUGAUUUAUUUGUCCUUUCUGAAUUCCUAUUGGCAACAUUGAUCCUAGAACCUGGGGUUUGUAUCAUGCUUUGGCUUAUCAACAUCAAUGUUGUUUUCCUUCUCUAUAGUUUAAUUUCUGAAUCAAUAUCUAUGGUUCAUAGAACACGGCUGUGCUGUAGGUCACACAUGUAUGGACAUGACAUGCACAUAUGGAAACAUUUGUCAGUUUUAUGUAAUUAAUCAUGUUUGAUUGAACAUAUAUUCUUUUGGUGUUACCCUGAACCAUGCCUCUUAAAGCAGAUUCUGAAGAGAUGAAAGCAGCCUUCUUUAAUAAAUGGCUCAGACCAUUUUAAAUAGGGGAAAACACUCUUAACAUAAGUUUUAUUCUGAUUUUGAGCCUCUGUUUUCCAAGACUGAUGCAAUUAAGAGGUGGCUGAGAAGGAGAGGAGGAGGAGCAGUUUCAAUGAGCCCUCACAGAUCCUGAAAGCUUAAUUGGCUGCCAAUAAAAGGAUGAAAAAUAAUGGAAUUAAAAAGAAGCCUGCUAUCAAUCUCUCCUUGUAAUAGGCCAGCUCAGCCUGUCCCCAUUUGUUCAUUUAUGGACUUUUUAAAGAAUGUAUUUAUUUUCUAAGAUGGCAUGCUUCUUCUCCUUUUGCUAUGAGCAAAUCAGUUUCAGAGUUGGGGCUGUUCAAUAGACAAGCACCGAGUGCUUCCACAUCGAAGAGCUGUGGCUACCAUAGAGGAGGGUCUUCAUCAAGUUAUCAAACAAAUUCUACUAAUGAUUCUGGUUCUUCAGAUCAGAGCUAUGAGGGAUAUUUUGCAUACUUGAAGAGUUCAUAUCUUACUAAAAUCCAUUUGAUGGGAAUCUCAAAAGGGCAUGUGGUAAUACCGUGAGUUUCUAUAUCCUAUUAUAACAUUAUAAUUUUAUACUGGGUUUAAAAUUUAGACUCAAAAGUUUAUUACUUUCUACUAGGUCUCAAGAUCUAGGCUCAUAAUUUACCCUAAUGAUUUUUCUGAUUAAUACAUUCAAAAGAAACUGAGUUUAAAUACUGUUGCUACAGAUCUUGCUCUAAAUACUACCAUAUUCCACAUACAAAAAUUUUGCUUGGCUUAUAGAUGGAUCAUAGUUGUUAAUCAUGUAUCGUUAGUUUUUUUAUAUAGUGAAAAAUGAAUAGAAAAAACAUGUUUACAUGGGCAUAUAUAUUGGAAGCAUGAAGUAUAGAUUAAUAUAAAACUAACCUCAUAAAAGAUGCCGGAUUUAAAGAAUUAAACUGUAUCAUACCAUAAGAAAACAUUGAGUACGAGUUUUAAAAAGUUUAGUUUGACAAAAUAUAAGUUUAAUGUAUAUGUUCAUCACAAAAUCCACAAAAAUAAACUUUUUAAAUUUUUAGAAAAUUUGAAGUCUAGAAAAUUUGGAGACUUUGGACCUGAGUGGCGAUUGGUUGUUUGGCAUGAGGCCAUUGAUGGUGUCCAACCUGAAAAUGCUCAGAAAAUUUGUGCUUAAUGACAAUAAAUUUUCCAGCAGCUUACCCACCACCACUGGUAUCCUUGGAGAGCUUAUUGGGCUCUCAGUCCAUGUAGACUCACUCUCUGGGAAUCUUCCAUCAGAGCUUGGAAAUCUUCAGAAUAUUUAGUCCCUUGAUCUAAGCCUAAAUUUCCUUUGGAAACCUCCCUUCCAGUUUAGGAAAUCUUAUGAGGCUUUUUGAUUUUGAUGCAAGUCAGAACAGAUUCACUGGUCCCAUUUUUCCAGAGAUUGGAAAUUUACAGAGGCUUUGAUCACUUGAUGUCUCAUGGAACUCACUGACUGGACCUACACCAAUGGAAGUGGGCAGAUCGAUGAGCUUGUAUUCAAUGUGUGGGAAACAACCACUCUAUUGGGGAAAUACCAGAAACAAUUAGCUAUCUGAGAGAGCUUCAGGUACUUAAUGUCCAAAGUGUUAAGACUGACAGGGAAAGUUCCAGAAGAAAUCUCACUUGACUUACCUAAAUAUAGCACAGAACAGUUUUAAGGGUGAAUUGCCUGCAAGCUUUGGUGGGCUGACACAUCUAAUUUACCUUCUUGCUGCCAAUGCAGGGCUGAGUGGAAGGAUUCUAGGGGAAUUGAGUAACUGCAAGAAGCUCAGGAUUCUAAAUUUAUCCUUUAACUCACUUACUGGUCCAUUACCAGAUGGUCUCAGGGGGCUGGAAUCGUUAAUUCAAUAGUAUUUGAUUCAAACCGCCUUUUAAGUCCUAUUCCCAAUUGGAUUUCCAACUGGAAGCAAGUUGAAUCAUUAUGUUAUCUAAGAACCUGUUUAUUGGGUCACCUCCCCUUCUUAAUAUGUAGAUCCUGACCUUACUUGACAUUAAUACCCAGUCAUUGCCUCCAGAAAUAUGCAAUGCCAAGUCGUUGAUCAUUUUAGUGCCAUCAGAUAACUAUUUCACUGGUACCAUUGAGAAUCAGGAGGUGUCUUGAGUCUCAGAGAUCUGUUAUUGUGUGGAAGCAAUCUCUUUGGAGAAUUGCCUGGUUAUUUGGGGCAACUUCGGCUGGUUACUCUGGAACUCUCAAAAAACUAUUCUCUGCAAAAAUUCCUGAUCAACUGUGGGAGUCUAAAACGCUUAUGGGGAUAUCGUUCAGCAACAAUUUGCUUACAGGUCAGCUUCCAGCUGCUCUUGCUAAAGUUUUGACAUUAUAAGUAACAUCAAAGAACUAAAAAUUUCACUAAUCUGUCACUAUAGGGAAACCAAUUGACUGAGGGAUCCCAUUGGACCUUUUCAACUGUAAGGAGUUGGUAUCCCUGGAUCUAGGUGCAAACAGGCUUACGGGUUCAGUUCCAAAAUCUAUAUCACAGUUGAUCUUCAAAUUGAUAAAUGGUAGUUUUUUCAUUCAUACUUUCAUUCGUUCAUGUAAAGAGUAUAUAUAGAGGGUAAUCACCAUUUUAAGAAUGGGAAAGAAUGAUACAAGGAAAGAAUGAUAUAAGGAAAUAACAACUAAUAUCCUAAUAUCUCAACUUUCCUAAUAUCUCAAUAUUCCUAAUAUCUCAAUAUUCAUAAUAUCUCAACUUUCCUAAUAUCUAAACAUUCCUAAUAUCUCAACACUAAAUGAUAUAAGGAAAGAAUGAUAUAAGGAAAGCAUUCCUAAUAUAUCUACACUCCCCCUCAAGUUGGUGCAUAGAUGUCACACAUGCCCAACUUGUCUAAAAUUUUUGAGAACACUUGACUUGAGACAACUUUGGUAAGGAUAUCGGCCAAUUNNNNNNNNNNNNNNNNNNNNNNNNNNNNNNNNNNNNNNNNNNNNNNNNNNNNNNNNNNNNNNNNNNNNNNNNNNNNNNNNNNNNNNNNNNNNNNNNNNNNCAGAUGUAGAUUGCCUAUCAUCCACUGCACUGACCCAAUCAGCAUCAGUAUAUACUUCUAUACUCUGAUGAUCAACAUUUUUAGCGAACAAAAUUUCCUUCCCAGGAGCAUUCUUCAAAUACCUCAAAAUACGCAUGACUGCAUUCAUAUGUUGCUCUCCAGGAUUAUGCAUGUAUUGACUCACUACACUCAAUGCAUAAGCAAGAUCUGGUCUUGUAUAAGCUAAGUACAUUAAUCUCCCCACAAGUCUCUGGUAUCUUCCCUUAUCGGUUGAUACUUGAUUAGGCUCAACACACAAUUUCAGACCUUUUUCUAUUGGUGUAUUAACAGGUUGACAUCCUGACAUUCCAGUCUCCUGUAAAAGAUCUAAGGCAUACUUUCUUUGAGACAAAAAAAUUCCUUCACUUGAUUGAGAAACUUCAAUCCUAAGAAAGUAUUUCAGAGGACCUAGAUCUUUCAUCUCGAAUUCUCUAGAUAGAUAAUUUUGCAGAACUUUUCUUUCUUCAGGAUCAUUUCCUGUAACUACCAUGUCAUCCACAUAUACGAUUAGUGCCGUAAUCUUACCAUGUUGCUUUUUCAGGAACAAAGUGUGAUCUGAAUUACUUUGAUGAUAGCCAAAAGCUCUCAUUGACUUUGUGAACCUUUCAAACCAUGCUCUCGGGGAUUGCUUCAACCCAUACAAUGACUUCUUCAAUUUGCACACCUUCUGACAUUGCUUUUUUGACACCAUGCAUCCUGGUGGAAGAUCCAUAUAUACUUCUUCAGAUAACUCGCCAUGCAGAAAGGCAUUUUUCACAUCGAAUUGUUGUAAUGGCCAAUCUAGGUUUGCAGCUAAAGACAGUAAUACUCGAACUGUGUUGAUCUUAGUUACAGGUGCAAAUGUCUCUGUGUAGUCAAUUCCAUAAGUUUGAGUGUACCCUUUUGCUACCAGUCUUGCUUUAAAUCGUUCAAUACUACCAUCUGCCUUGUACUUCACAGUAUAGAUUCAACGACACCCAACUGGCUUCUUUCCUGGUGGACAUUCUAGGAGUUCCCAUGUUUCAUUCUUCUACAAUGAUUUCAUCUCUUCAUUCAUGGCUGCUUUCCACCUUAGAUCAGCUAAGGCUUCCUACACACUGUUAGGAAUAGCUACAGUAGAUUAUUGAUUUACAAAUGACUUAUUUGAUUCAGACAAACGAUGGUUAGACACAUAGUUGCUCAUGGGAUAUUUGACUUUGGUAGACAAUUCAGGUUCAUAUGUGGGUUUAGGAAUACCUCUAUUAUGACGGUGUGGUAAUCGUUUCAUGAAUGGAUUAGGUUCCAAAUUAAGAACACCCUCAACAGACGACGAUUGGUUUGGUAUUUUAGUGAAGACAUCUUCGGACCCAAAUUGUUGACCACUCAUAUCCAACUCACCCGCUUCUUGGUUCACUAGUUCAGAUUGUCUAAAUUCAUCUUCCUCAGAGAUAUGAUAAUCAUAAUCGAGAGUCUAAAUUUCCUUAUGGACUCCCCCUCNNNNNNNNNNNNNNNNNNNNNNNNNNNNNNNNNNNNNNNNNNNNNNNNNNNNNNNNNNNNNNNNNNNNNNNNNNNNNNNNNNNNNNNNNNNNNNNNNNNNUGGAGGAUGGUAACAUCAAUAUCCCUUUUUGUGCAAUGCAUAUCCAACAAACACACAUUGCAAAGCAUGGGAAGUUAACUUGGUGCGUUGGUGCUUGUGUAGAUGCACAAAUGUCAUGCAACCAAAAACACGAGGAGGUAGAUUUGGGACGGUUGGGGCAACUACGACAUUAGUAAGAAUUUGGAGAGGUGUUUGAAAGUUAAUUGAGCUAGAAGGUACCCGAUUGAUCAAGUAUGCGGCAGAUGUGAUUGCUUCUCCCCAAUAAGAUAUCGGUGUUUUUGCUGCUAUUAAGGAAGCACAAACAACCUCUAACAAGUGCCGAUUUUUUCGUUCAACAACUCCAUUUUGCUAGGGUGUAUUGGAACAAGUAGUCUGAUGAAUGAUGCCAUCUCCUUCCAAAUACUUUUGAAGAUCAGAACUUUGAUAUUCUCCACCAUUAUCACUACGUAGAACCCGAACCUUUGCAUUGUACUGAGUUUCAAUCAUUUUAUGAAAAUUUUGAAACAACAAGUUCACUUCAUCUUUGGUCUUCAUCAAGCAUAACCAUGUCAUUCUGGUACAAUCAUCAAUAAAAAUAACAAACCAACGUGAGCCACUCAAAGUUGGGACUUUGGAUGAGCCCCAAACAUCAGAAUGUAUAACCAUAAAAGGAAACAGACUUUUAUUCAAAAUUAACGGAAACGAAGCACGAUGGAUUUUAGCCAAUUCACAAAUAUCACAACGGAAACCAGAAAUAUCACUCUUUGCAAACAAACUAGGAAACAAUUUUUUUAAAUAACCAAAGGAAGCAUGUCCCAGACGUCGAUGCCACAACCAAAUUUCAAACUUUUUCUUCUCCCCCUCAGAUCCAUCUGCCAUCAAGGCUUGUUGCAACUUAUUUGAAUCCUUUGAUUGCAAGUCCAAGUAAUAGAGUUUUCCCCGCUCAAUACCACAACCAAUCGUCUGUCUUGUUUGGAUGUCUUUAAUCACACAAAAUUCAGGCCAAAAAAUGACAAUACAAGAUAAGGCUGCAGUGAUUGGAGAAACUGAAAAAAGAUUGUAAUCUAAAGAUGGAACAACUAAAACAGAAUCCAAAUUCAAAGUAUCAGUAAGAGUUAAAGAUCCUUCCCUAAUGACUGGGGUUGUGUUACCAUUGGCUGUGGAAACAAUUUUUUGUGAGGAAGGUCUAAGGGGUGAAACCUGUCUAGAAUCAAUUAUCCAUGCACUAUUAAUAACAAGUGUAAAAUUAUUUAAAAACUUACCACCAUGAUCAGUAGCGGAUACCAAUGCAGAGGCUUUCUCAGCAACAUUAGCCUCUGUUUUUAUUUCGGCAACAGUUGCAGUCGAGGUUUUCUUGGAAUCCUUCUUCCAUUGAUCACGAUUAUUAUCAUUAAUAACAAAGUGUUGAUAGCCUAAACAUGAUCUAAAGGUCCAUGGUUCAAACCCUCGGUUCCUCAUUGUUUUCCUGGUCAUACCAAGAGUUGUUGCUUUGAAAUUGUGGGAUAUCCAAACUGGUGGGACUAGUCUUAUUGCAGUGAGUGCAUUUGAAGGUUGACUUAUCAAUAUUAGGGCUUGUCUUAGGAUGGUUGAUCGUUGUCGGACUACCAUAGCAACAAAAUAUCCAGGAUUUCAGUUCCAUGGCUCUGAUACCAUCUUCAAAUUGAUAAAUGGUAGUUUUUUCAUUCAUACUUUCAUUCGUUCAUGUACAGAGUAUAUAUAGAGGGUAAUCACCAUUCUAAGAAUGGGAAAGAAUGAUACAAGGAAAAAAUGAUAUAAGGAAAUAACAACUAAUAUCCUAAUAUUUCAACUUUCCUAAUAUCUCAAUAUUCCUAAUAUCUCAAUAUUCAUAAUAUCUCAACUUUCCUAAUAUCUAAACAUUCCUAAUAUCUCAACACUAAAUGAUAUAAGGAAAGCAUUCCUAAUAUCUCAAUAGUUGAAACGUGCUUGACAAUCUGGUACUAUCCGAUAACCAAUUGUCUGAUCCUAGUCCUGAAAAGAUCUAUUCCAAGUUUCAAAAGGUGCCCAUACUAGAUUGUGUUCACCCAGCAUUAUGGCAUGCUUGAUUUAUCUUAUAAUGAGUUUUUGGGCUCUAUUCCUGCAACAAUUAAGCAGAGCGCAUUGUUGUGACAGAGCUAUUGUUGCAGGGCAAAAAGCUUACUGGUAGCAUUUAUCAUGAGAUUGCAGUUCUGGCAAACUUGACUUUGCUUGAUCUCUCUUUCAAUGUUUGACAGGGCCAGUUAUACCAAAGUUCUUUGCUUUGAGAAACCUUUAGGGACUUGUCCUUUCGCAUAACCAUGUAACUGGAACCAUCCCUGUUGAUCUGGGCUUGUUGGUGCCAAACUAAGCUAGGCUUGAUUUGUUAAACCACUGGCUCAUUGGACCACUUUCCUUAUUUAUAUUUAGCAUGAAGGGCCUGACCCAUCUAGACAUUAGCAUGAAUUCUUUCUUGGGUCCCAUUUCUCUUGAUUUUAAAACCUACAGCCCUCUGUUGGUUCUAAAUGGCAGCAACAACCAUUUGUCUGUGACUUGUAAUGAAAUCUAACUUCUCCUUCCAUCUUAUAUCUUCAGAACAACACAGUCACAAGCAGCUUCUUCAUUCUCAGAACUUGUUGCCUUGACAUACCUCAAUUUCUCCAAUAACAAUUUCCAAAUAUGAUAUGCUAUAUUUGUGACAUAGUAAGCCUUGCCUUUGUCCAUUUCUCUGGCAACAGAUUCAUUGGCUAUGCAAGAGAGAUUUGCAUGAAGGACCAACAGUGCUCAGCACUCCUACCUUUAUCUCUUCUUGGCAGGGCUACCCAGCUGUGAGGGCUCUGACCCAAGCCUCUGCUCGGCCUAUUGUGCCACUUUCAUCUUCCUAGUUCUGUUCAUUUUCCUUCUCAGACAGAGGAUGCUUAGGCAAAAAACUGUAGUUGUUGACAAGGGAAAGGGCAAGUUAGUGGCAGUAGUUGAGCCAUGAUUCACUGAUGAGUUGCUGGGCAAGAAGCUAAAGGGAACACCUAGCAUUAACUUUGCAACAUUUGAGCUCUCUUUGCUCUAGAUGAAACCUUUAGAUAUCUUAUCAGUAACUGAAAACUUCAGCAGGACUAAUAUUAUUGGUGAUGGUGGGUUUGGUACAAUUUAUAGAGCCUCCCUGACAGAGGGAUGAACAAUUGCUGUCAGAAGGCUCAACAGAAGACGUUUGCAUGGUGACCGGGAAUUAUUGGCUGAAAUGGGGAAAGUGGGAAAGCUUAAGCAUGAAAACCUGGUUCUUUUCCUUGGUUACUGCAUCUUUCAAGACGAGAAGUUUUUAGUAUACGAGUGUAUGGAGAAUGGAAGUCUUGAUGUGUGGUUGAGGAAUAGAACAGAUGCAGUUGAGGCCAUGGACUGGCCCACGAGGUUCAAGAUCUGUUUGGGAUCUGCCAGAGGGCGCUUUUCAUCAUGGCAUUGUUCUUCACAUUAUUUUAAGAGAUAUCAACCCUAGUAAUAUCUUUUUGGAUGGUAAAUUUGAGCCAUGGGUAUCAGAUUUUGGCCUUGCAAGAAUCAUCAGUGCAUGUGAGAGCUAUGGUAGUACUAUUCUUACUGGUACAUUGGAUGUAUACCGGUAGAAUACAGGCAUACUAUGGUGGCUAUUGGCUACCAGCAAGGGUGAUGUUUGCAACUUUGGGGUUGUGAUUCUGGAGCUGGUGACAGGAAGGACACCAACAAGUCAGGCUGAUGUUGAGGGUGGCAAUCUGGUUGGCUGGGUGGGGUGGAUGGUUGCAAAUGGGAGGGAAGAUGAUGAGCAGGAUCCGUACUUUUCAACUAUUACAAUUUGGAAGGAUGAAAUGUUAUGUGUGCUUUCAAUUGCAUGAUUGCGCACAUUUGAUGACUCAUGGAAGCGGCGUACCAUGUUUGAGGUGGUGAAGCUGUUAGUGGAGAUAAAGCUGGCAGCUCACUGAAAUUGUAAGUGACUGCAAGUCCAAAAAUUCUAUAACAUAUAUAUUGACUCAAAAUUGAGAAACACAUGUAAAUAAGGGCUUAGAUAUAAGAAUAGAUAUGUGCUAUGAUAUUCAAUAUUAUCUUUUGAACUCUGCAGACCAGGUGGGAAAUGCAUUUUCCUCAAAUGGGACUGCAACUUCUCUCUUAUGUUAACAGGUUAAGUUUGAGAUUUGGCUGUAUGUUUUUAGUUAGGUGACCCGUUCCAAGGCAUUAAUAUCUCCAGCAACAUAGUUAGAUUUAAACCAAGGGAGGCAAAUAAAGAUUAUGUUGUAAUGCUCAAGAAACUUCUCUUCAUUUGUAUUUGCCAGGGAGGGUGUCAACUUUAGCUCCAAGUCUUUAGGAUGUUGGAGGUAUUAGGUGAAGGGGAGAUGAAAUCAAGCGGUAGGGUGUCCAGAAGAGGAAUAUUGCUGUUAUAUUAUUAUGGGCCUUUAAUGCUCUAGUAUAGAGGUUGGAUAUAGCUUUCCUUGGAAGGAGCUUGAAAGCCUCAGCAUGCCUUUGCAUUGUUAUAUGUUGUUUCUUUGAUAGGCAAGUAAGAAUAUAUCAGAAGUGCCAAUAAAAAAGGGGGGUAUGCCUUUGCACCCUCAUAUGCCAAGGAAAGAAUCUUAACUAUGGAUCAGUUGAGUAGAGGAAAGAUGAUUCCUAAUUGAUGUUGUGUGAGUGUUUAGCUAGGUUGGCAAUUCUGGACAAAAUUUCUAAGUGUCCCCUAAUUCGGCUUUCCAAUUCCUCUUCGGAUUACUUGACUUUGAAGACUAAGACUUUGCUAAGAGGCCGAGGUAUAUAGUCAAGUGUGCGGUGAUUGAAUGUGAAUCAACUUUGUUUUUAAUCUUUAAAUGUGUUAGAAAGUUAGGAGAAAUGGUUUGUGGUGCAAGGCUUUAUUCUCCUGUUUCUGGAUCGAUUUAGGUACAAGGCCAAAUCGAUCCAACUAACUUGUUUUUUAGAUCAAAUCUUAGCCAUUAGAUUAAGGGCUUAUUUUUACACUUUAAAAAUCAAUCUUCUCUCACUUUCUGGGUAGAGACUGCAGAAAACGUGGAGAGAGUUGCAGCCACUGCAUGUGUUCUUCAUUUUCUCAUAUCUUUUCCUAAUUUGGGGGUUUUUGAUUGCAAAGAAAAUCCAUUUCUCUUAGUGUUUUCCAAACUAGUUUUUAAUGGAUUUUCUUGAGUAAUAAAUGGGUUGAUUCAUUUCUUCAUUCAUAUAUCAAUCUCUCAUUCUAUUUGGUUUUGUGCAAAAACUCAUUUUCUUUUUGUGUGGAUUCAAGAAGAGGCCGAGAUUGAGCUUGGUGUGGACUCUAAGUGUGCUCUGGAAGAUGAAAGUAAGAAGUUGAAAGUGAAGGUACUAGUUAAGUGGUCUGGGAAGGAUUGAUUGGUUUGAGCUAGGUAAAACCUUGUACUCAGUUUUUAUUCUUUAUGGUGGAGUUUUUCAAUCGGUGGUAGGCUCGUGGUUUUUGAUAUAUUCGGAGGUUUUCCACGUUAAAAUCCGAUGUUAAUUGUCUCUUUCUCUUACUCUACACUUUGAUUUAACUUAUGUUUUUGAAUGGAAGAAAUAUGAGGUGAUAUAAGUGUGAUGAUCCAUGAAAUAUCCUUAAUAAUUUUUUUGCUCAUUUUGGUUAAUGAUAUCAUGAAGUAAAUUGAUAUGAGUUGAAGAUAUAAUUGUUCUUUUGAUUUAUUUUUUAGGAUUGGUGAAACAUUUGCACGUGUGUUGCAUUUAUAAAUUGUUGGGAGAGUGUUGAUGCAUACAUUCUUGGUUGUGGAUGUUAUGCUUUGUUGAAUACUUGUUGAAAGAGAAAUUUUUUGACAUUGACAAAGUCUAAAGUUAGGUAAUCUUUGUUGGGAGAAUAUUUUAAAUUAUUCUACAAUACCUAUUCACCUCCCACUAGGUGUAUUCCAUUAUUGAGAUUUAUCGUUUCAUGUUGCAUGUGUAGGGAAAUGAAGAGAUGGUUGUCCUCUGCAUGUGCAAGUGUGGUCUCUAUUUGGGUUGGGCUUGGGUGGUAAUGAUGUCAGUAUUAAAGGUGUGUGAUAGGUGGCGCCGGAGAUUGGUGAGGGAUAGGAAAGAUGCAUGAAUUAGUGUGUUUUGUGUAAUGGAGUGCAUUUAGAGGGAAAGUAGAAAAAGCCACGAAUGUGAGGAGCUUUCCACCACAUUAAUGCCUGUUAAAAAAUUCCAAGUGCAGGCAGCAAAUCUAUGCCUUACAACGGGAAAGGGGGUCCCUUACCCACCAGGACAAUUUUAACCUUCUUAUUACUAUUUUAAAUACUUUUGAGUAGUAGUUAAUACCUUUUAACUCAAUUGGCACAUUAAGGAACCUAGCAAGGGUUACUACUCAGUUUUUGGCAAGUUUUGGUGUUUUUGGUAGCUAUUUGAUCAUUGAAACAAGCCAAGAAUGAGGGAGAAUUUUGUGAAAUCCAUGGCAAUACUAGUUAAAGCUCAAAUACGUGAAGAAUCCAACCUUUAGAGCACUUCAUAGCCCUUUGCCAAGCCAAUCAGAGAUGCAACGAAGAAAACCAAAGGAAGAAAUCUAACAACUAGCAUUUUCGAAUGGCUGUGCAAAAUUUCGCACACCAUGUGAAACCACUUGAGGUAGCCAAAGGAUUUCACACACCAUGCCAAAUUUCGCAUGGUAUGCGAAAUCUUCCUGUGCACCGACUCUAUUAGAUUUUUAUCUUUAGAUAUUUUGUGUAAUUUCCUAGUUUCUCCUUGUAACCAACCUAGAUAUUUUCUUUUAUAUAUUUUUAUUUAUCUUUUAGGUAGCAUAUAUAUAAAGGGAGAGACAGAGAAAGAAAAAAAAGAUGUAUGUUUUUCAUUAAACACUUGCAAAUUCUCGUAGUAAGAAAUAUAGAGAGCUUUUUGCUUUGCCUUUCAUUCUCAUUUUGUUUUCACUCUUCUUCCUAGCCAAACAACCUCUGAGGAUGAUUUCUCAGGGGAUGGGUGGCUAGGUUUUACGUUUCUUGGAGUGAUGAAACCUAGGUGAAGGACCCGAAUGCAAAGGUGGGAGUUGUCCUUGCUUUAAAUGAAAGUAGUUGUUAACCAUUAAUGGUUUUUAUUUCAAGGUUUAGCUUUAAAUCCCUUAAAAUCACCUUGAAUGGCCAAUACUUGGUAAGUUUUUCGGAUUCUAUGGAUGCUUAUUGCUAGAUCCAUGGAUGUCUAUUAGUUAUCAUUUACGAGCCAUUGGAAGGUGGUUCAAGGUUAGGGUUUUUAGGGUUUGAAUCCAUUAAUGAGAAGCAACUAUCAUUUUCCAUAAACCCCUUUGGAUCAAAUCUUAAUUGCUAAAUGCAAAACCGGUUCGAGAGAUAACCAUCCUUUAUGUUAUUAUCCCCAACGCGAGGAGAAGAUCCAGAAUCUUCCCCUUUGCCUAAGGAACCCGAUCCUAGUGACCUAAAGCUCCAAGAGACCUUUUCUUUAUAGUUAAUUUCACUUAUUGUUUUUGCUUAACUUAAAAUCAAUCUUUGCAACCACAAUUCCAUUUUCUUUAAAAGCUAAUUUUCGUAAGAAUAAACACCAUUUUAUUUCCUUCAUUUAAGUCAAUUGUACGAUGAAAACCCAUCCCUGUGGACGAUCAUAGAGCCACUAUACUAUGUCAGCUAUGCUACCCUAGUGUGAGGUGAUUUAGGUUUUAUAAAUUUUUUUGAUAACACCGGUUUGAGCCAGAAUCAAAUGGCAUGACUGCAAUGGAGACGAAUCAAUUCCUUUAGGGGGAUGUGACAUGGUGUUGGGGAUAUAAUGGCUAGCUUAGUUAGCACUAAUCUUAUAGGAUUUGAAAAUUUUGUAGAUGGAGUUUAGUUAAAAUGGGAGGAGUUUAGUGUUUCGUUAAGCUACAAUGGGUCCCUUGAAGUUGGUUUUGGCCACACACAUGGAAAAAGAUCUUAAACAUACACUAAAAAUUGUUGUUGCCCAUAUUUUCUCGAUGCAAUUAGAGUUAGUUACAUAUGAGUUAGCCAAUGAGGCCUUAGUGGAGAAGAUGCUAAAAGAGUUGCAAGGGCUCUUAAAAAAAUAUGAAGACAUAUUCUUUGAACCCAAGGGCUUGUCUCCAUCAAGAUCUCAAGAUCACCAUAUUCCAUUAUUGUCUAGAAGUGUUCCCCCAAACAUUAGACCAUAUCAUACCCUUAUGUGUAGAAAGAAAAGAUUGAAAAAUUGGUCAAUGGGUUGCUUGCAGCUGGUAGCUUCCAAAAGAGCGUUAGUCAUUUUUCUUCACCAGUUUACUUGUGACGAAAAAAACACGAGUUAGCGAAUGUUUGUGGAUUAUAGGGCACUGAACAACAACACAAUCAAGGAUAAGUUUCCUAUACUAGUGAUCGAUGAGCUAUUGGAUGAAUUACAUGGGGCUAAGUUCUUCUCAAAGUUGAAUUUGAGAUCAUGUUACCACCAAAUUGAAGUACACAUUGAUAAUAUCCACAAAAUAGCUUUCCGAACUCAUGAAAGGCACUAUGAGUUUUUAGUCAUGCCCUUUGGUUUGACGAAUUCUCCUUCAACAUUCCAAGAUAUUAUGAAUGAAAUUUUCAUGCCUUGAGAAAGUUUGUGUUGGUAUGUGAUCAUAUUUUGGUGUUUAGUUAGAGUUGGGUUGAGCAUUUGGAACAUUUGGAAAUUGCGUUUGAGAUCUUGCUUCAAAAUCAACUGUAUGCUAAGAAAUCAAAGUGUUCAUUCGAUAAGGAAUAGUUAGAAUAUUUGGGACACUUAUUUUUGUGUAAGGGGUGGAAACUGAUCUGGCUAAGAUUGAAUGUUUCAAACAGUGGCCUAUACCUAAUUCUUUGAAGUCUUUACAGGGAUUUUUGGGACUCAUAGGUUACUAUAAGAGAUUUAUAAAAGAUUAUGGGAAAGUUAUUCGGCCCUUAACAGAUUUACUUAAGAAGGAUAAUUUUUUCUAGAGCAAGGGAGUGGAGAUGCAUUCAACAACUUGAAUACAACCAUGUGUACAAUUCUUGUCUUAGCAAUGCCUAAUUUUUAGAUGGACUUCAAAAUCGAAUAUGAUGAAACAAAUAGGGGAAUUGAAGUAGUAUCAUCACAAGAAAGACGUCCUGUGGCUUAGUUGAGUAAAUGUAUGUCACCCAAACAUCUUGGCAUGCCUGUAUGAAAAAAAGAUGAUGACAGUCAUAUAUGCAGUGCAAAAAUGGCAUCCUUAUCUUAUAGGGAGGCAUUUCAAGAUAUACAUUGAUCAUUUAAGCUUAAAGUAUAUGCUGGAACAAUACAUUUCUAUUCUAAUGCAGCAAAUAUAGCUUUCUAAGGUUAUUGGUUAUGAUUUUGAAGUAUAUUUUAGAUGUGGGAAAGAGAAUAAGGCCACUGAUUUGUUGUCUAGAAUGGAUGAAUCCUCUGAAAAAGGGACAGUGAUGGCUAUUUCAUUUUUGUUGGCUGACUGGGUGGAACAACUUAAGCAAGAAUGGCAGCAGGAUAUGGAAAUUCAGAAAUUAAUCCAGGAAAUACUAUCAAACCCAGGUUUUCACUCCAAGUUCAAUUGAAAACAUGACUUCCUCGAGUACAAAGGAAGGCUAUGGCUAGGCAAGAGUUCAAACCUGAAACCUAUUAUACUUAAAGAGGCUCAUGCAGGUGUAGAAAGAGGACAUUCUGGUGUAAAAAAAACUUGGGCAAGAAUUCGAUGUCUUUUUUAUUGGAAAAAGAUGCGUAAAGAGAUUGACAUAUUUGUGGCAGAAUGUGACAUAUGUCAGAGGAACAAACAUGAAAAUGUUUCUUACCCUAGGCUGCUACAACCAUUACCCAUUCUUAAGCAAGUUUGGAUGGACAUAUCCAUAGAUUUUAUAGAAGGAUUACCUAAGUGACAUGGUAAGCAAGUCAUAUUUGUGGUGGUAGAUAGAUUAAGUAUGCCCAUUUCAUGCCUAUAAGCCAUCCUUAUAAUGCUUUGGAUGUUGUACAAUCAUUUGUGGAUAGUAUCUACAAACUACUUGCCUUAUCAAAGUGAUCCUAUUUUUACUAGUGACCAGGAUCCUAUUUUUACUAGUAACUUUUGGCAAGGCUUAUUUUCUUAGCUGAAUGUUGGUUUAAUGAGGAGCACUGCUUAUCACCAUCAAACUGAAAUGGUUAACAAGUGCUUAGAGUAGUACUUAAGGCGUAUGACGGGUGACAAACCAAAAGAGUGGACUAAAUGGCGUCCCUUGGUUGAGUGGUGGUAUAACACUUCCUACCAUUUAUCUACUCAACUAACACCUUUUGAAGUUGUUUAUGGUCUACCACCCCCUACUUAUGUUACUUAUAUACCAAGUGAGUCUAGUGUUGCUAUUGUUAACCAAAGUUUAAGGGAUUGGGAUGUCAUGAUACGACUAUUCAAGGCUAACCUUUAUAGACCCUUCAUUUUGUCCCCUUAGCACAUGUCCUAUUGAGUGCUCUUUUAGUACUCCACAGUAGUUCCCUAGUGGCCCAUUGACACUCACGCAACUUCUUUUUAUGAGCCACCUAUAAGGACCCUUGGUUCAAGGGCUCAUUUGGACCCUCACUAUGACCUUGGUCGCCCUUCGAGUUUAGGUUAGGUUUCACUUAGAUCAUUUUCCACUUAGUUCACCUUUUAGGUUAGAUUUCACUUGGACACUUUUUAGGCUUAGGUCACUUAGAUGCUUUGUUUUAGUUCACUAAAUUUUUUGGUAAGUGUUUUUUUUAAAGUGUUUUUAAUAUAAAUUUUUUAGGGGUAUGUAUGUAAAUAUAACUUUGGUGAGUUAAUUGUUUAAAGAGUUUUAAUAUAAAAUUUUUAGUGGUAUGUACGUAAAUAUAAUUUUGGUAAGUUAAUUGUUUAAAGUAUUUUAAUAUAAAAUUUUUAGUGGUAUAUACGUAAAUAUAAUUUUUGGUAAGUUAAUUUUUUUUAGAAGUGUUUUUAAUAUAAAUUUUUAGUGAUAUGUAUGUAAAUAUAAUUUUGGUAAGUUAAUUGUUUAAAGUGUUUUAAUAUAAAAUUUUUAGUGGUAUGUACGUAAAUAUAAUUUUUAGUAAGUCAUUUUUUAAAAAGUCUUUUUAAUAUAAAUUUUUGUACGUAAAUAAAAUUUUUGAUAAGUUUUUUUCUAAAGGUUUUAAUAUAUAUAUUUUUCUUAAUGGUUAUGUGCAUAAUUUGAGACACCACUUUCCAUUGUAAAUAUUAAACUAUUUUCAAAAGCCACUUUCCAAUAUAAAAUUUUAAAAAAUCUCUUUCCAUUAUAAAUAUCAAAGCAGUUUCCAUAUGAAAAGAAAAGAAAACAUGCUACCAUAUUCAUAUAGGAUAUUCUCCCAUAAAUUUUUUGUAAUUAAAUUUACAUUCUAGCUACUUUUUUAGAAUUUGUUUUGUGAAGACUCCUAUUUUUUAUUGCAUGCUGAUGACUUGUACUGUACUUGACAUGUUAUUUAUUCUGAAGCUAUUUGACAUAUCUUGACUUAACUUUUUGGUUUGUAUUUUGUAACAUAGACAUGAUAAGGUUGUUGUAUAAUAUAUAUAUAUAUAUAUAUAUAUAUAUAUAUAUAUAUAUAUAUAUAUAUAUAUAUAUAUAUAUAUAUAUAUAUAUAUAUAUAUAUAUUUGGAUGAGAUAUUGCUUUUAGAUAUUUAUUUAGAAUUUUUCUUAUGAAUGUCUCUAUUAUGAGUUUGCUGAGUGUUUGAAAUAAGUUAUCCAUUUUGACAUCUUUAGUUCACUUGUAAAUUAAUCUAACUUCGGUUUUAUGUUAUAAACAUGUCAUACAGGAUAGAUAAGCUUUUAUUUAAGUCUUAGGAUCACUUUUGGUAUUUUAUGUGGUUUCAUUUGGUAAUUGCAUGUUUAUUGGAAGUAUGGGCCUUGGUGUUGUGUAUUAUUUGAAUUUCGUAACUCUUAAUUCAAUUUGUAAUACAUCAUGUAGAAUAUGAGGUUUUGAUUAGGUUAAUUAUUACUUCUUGUAAGCUAACCCUCUUCUAGCUAUAUAUAAGCGCAUUGUGAGUUGUGUAUAGGGAUGGUAAUGGAGCGGGUUUGGGACGGGUUGCCCCCAUCCCAACCCCGCCCCGUUUAUUCAAAGUAAUUCCCAUCCCCGUCCCAUUUAAAAAAUUAAACGAGGCAAGGCGGGGCGGGUAUGAUAAAUUCUCAUACCCGCCCCACCCCGUCCCGCCCCGUUUAACUUUUUUUUUGGAAUUUUAAUUUUUUUUUUAAAAAAUUACUUUUAAAAUUUUAAUUACAUUAAAAUAAAUAUAUUUUAUAAAUAAUUAAAUUAUUAUAUUUUUAAUAACUUAUUUGACUAAAAAUAUUUUAUUAUUAUCUAUAUAUUAAAAAUAGUAAAAUAAAAAUUAAAUUAAAUUAAUUUUAAAAUUUAAUUUUAUAUAUAAUCGGGGCGGGACGGGGCAAUACUCAAACCCACCUUGGGUUUUAAAAAAAUUUUCCAAACCCAUCCCAAACCCAUUUAUUAAAAUUGAACCCCAUCCCAUUAGGGACGGGACGAGACGAGUAUCCGAAAAAACCCGUCCCAUUACCAUCCCUAGUUGUGUAUGCAUGCUAUUUAGGUAUGUCCCUUGCACUUCCUACUUCUUUAAUUUUGUAAAUAUGUAGACCUUGUUUGUAAUCUUUUUAAUGUAUGAUAUUGUUUUGGUUGCUUAGAUUAUCGCUUGAUUAUUUGAAUGGAUUGAAUGCAUGUUGUAUGCUAUAUUUGUUAAACUAACUUUGAAUGUUUUCAUGAAAGCUCUUUGGGAUGUAGCUCAAACACGCCAAUCUCCUUGUCCUAUAUGGGUGUUUCGGUAGCACUUAGGAAUUCUCCAAAAAUUUGAAGUGCUAAGGACUAUGAAAGGUCACUUACCCUCAAAAAUGUCACCCCAAACUCUUCAAAAUAAGGUCCAAUUUCUUGGUUUUUUAUUUUAUUUGACUGAUAACUAGUUCUAAGCUUUUUUAUAAAGCAUAAUUUUAGUGACUCAUAACCAGAGUUGCUUACGUGCAUCAAGAUUUAAAGAAAAAAAUGCCAUGACCUUCCUUAGGAUAAGAGCUCAACCUCUCUGAACAAGUCAUUGCUUUUUUAUCCUAACUCUUCAUUUUCUACCUCCAAGUAUCUUCUUCCAAGAAAAGGAAACAAAUUCUAAGGACAUGUUACGCAUAGUGUAUGAAUUGAGUUUCAAAUAGAUAUUAAAGUUAAAAAAUUUGUUUCAAAGGAUCUUAAGACUUCAACCUAACAAUAUUAGCAUUCAAGUGUAUAUCUAAGAGAGGUAAAUCAAUUACCCAAGAAUAUAUCUUCUUCUAAUGCUAAUAUCCUUCACUCUCUUGAAAAGCUUAAAAAGUUAGAAAAAUUUUGCUGGUUAUUUUCCUUGAACUUAAAAUGCACAUUGUCCUCAAAAUGCAAUGUAUUGAUACGGUUAGGGGAAGUUCCUGAUACUAUAAAUGUUGCAAACUUCUAUAAAGAAAAAGAUUCUAUACAACUUGCAUAUGUAUUAAUAUACUACAUUAGUUAAGAAAAGUUACUAAUACGAUAUAUAUUGUGGACUUUUCUAAAGAAAGAGAUUCUAUACAACUUGCAUGCCCAUAUUUUCUUUUCUAAUCUCCUUCGCUGCGUAACUUCUAGCCAUGUAGCUCACUUCUAACGAUGUAACUUCUUGCCAUCUAGCCAUAAUUUUUUAUAUCAAUAAGAGUUUAGGAGUGAAUCUUUUAAUGUUAAUUACUUACAAAAAUGAUGUAUUUAAUAAAAUUUUAAAAAAUUUAAAUAGCACGUGUUUUUUCAAAAAGUAAAAAUAUUUUUAAUAUCUAUACACAUGCAUACAUAUAUAUAUAUAUAUAUAUAUAUAUAGUACUUUUAUGAAAGAAACCACGCUCAAACAGAGAGGAAUAUUUUAUUGUAACAUCACAAUAUUAUUAUUAUUAGGUAUUGUCAAUGUUGAGGGGUUGGUCCGGCAGAAUUAAUAAACGAACCUUUCUAGCAGGGCACAUAAGAUGGUAUUCCUAAUCACCCUCUUUUAGAUACAACAUAACCAGCAAGGAAAUAGCUGCAGCAGCAGAUGGCACAACAAGAAGCGAGAAUUGGGAGUCCAAAGGCAGGUGGUAGUACAGCAUACAACCCAGUCAUGAAUGCUACCACCAUUGCUUCCAUCCCAAACACGAUGAGAAUAUAGCCACAUAGAAAGAAGCGUCCAUGCACUUUCCCACCCAAAUGAAAGGCCGUUGCCAUAAGAAAAUAGAACCAUAGAGCACCUACUGAGAGGAUCAUCGCUAUGGUAUCUGACGCAACAAAUGCUUUGAAAGAUGCUUUCUUUGUCGCGAUAACCACCAGGCAAGGUGAAACCUGCCGCAAAGGUUACGGUUGCUAUAAGUGCUGCCACUAUCAAAUGGGUUUCACCUGCCUUCUUAAGGAAGAGAGAUGUUUAUCUUCAUUGGCGUGGCCUUCUGCUGCGGCCUUGUACAAAGUAUCAUCCAUGCAUGCGAUCUCAGCUUGGCUACCAUCUUCAGCUGCACCAUGGUGGUAGCACUGGGUUUGCCCAUUGUAGUUUAAGUUAUAUGUACUCAAUUUGCACCUCUCUUUUAAGUAUUCCUCUUAAUGGUAAGAGUCUUCCAUGUGCGUUAUAAAGGGUUAGGCAGAUACCAAUAGAACGCCUUCAAGCAAUAGUAUACAUCUAACCAAAUAUCAUUCCAAGACGUUAAAUUCAUAGUCCAAACUAUAUAUGAAAAAUCUCAAUACUCAGCACACAUAUACACCUUCGGUCAACAUGAAUUCCACCACUAACCUAUAGACUAUUUAUUUUAUACCAAUAUUACUAUCAUUAUUAACCAACUAAAACUUCACAUAAUCAGGAGAGAAAUGAAACACAACGUAUAUGCAUGAAAUCACAUGAAAAUUUCUAAGUUUUCUUCCAAAAAUAUAAAAUAAUGAUUUUGGUAACAAACUACCCUACCAAAAUCUAAAAAUCUAAAUUUAAAAUUAAACUCUAAACAUUUUUUUUUUUGGGAAUAGACUUAAAAAACAAUUCUAAAAAACUGUUUUUGAAAAUAGUUUUCUAAAAUUUUUUUAUAAUGUUUUGUUUAAAAAAAUAUAUGUUUAGGAAUUUAAAAUGUUUUUAACUUAUUUUUAAUAUUUUAAAAUAUGUUUGAGAAAUAAUUUUUAUGCUUAGUACUUUAUUUUUAAUUAUUUUGUAUUUGUAUAAUUAUUUUUUAAACAAUCGUUAGAAAACAAGUGAAAAUACUUUGAAAACAUGUUUUAUGUUCUUAAGAACAAAAGGAAACAAAAAAAAAAAAACUAUUUUUUAGUUGUUAAACGCAUUUUCCUAUUCUUUUUAUUUAAAAUUAUUUUUGAAAACAAUUAUCAAAUAGAUCCUAACUUUUUAUUUUUUUAUUUUACUUUUCCACAUUUCCAAUGUCCAUCCGUCAUCUCACAUUAAAUCUCAAAACAUUUCCUAUCUAAAUUAUUGUAAUCCCAAAAUUCAAGUAUAUGAUUUCAUAAUUUCCCUCAAUUAAAUUUUGUUUUAUUUAAUAGUUUUAAUUUAACUUCUUAGCAAUAUGACAUAAUAUGAGUUGUCCUAAUUUUUCCUAAAAGGUUCAUUGACAAUUAUCUAAUAAUAAGUAAAUUAAUUUUCAAUAAUGUACUCAACUUUAAAUUUUCAAAAUCCAAAAUUUCACCAUAAAAAAUUGACAUGGCAAAAAUUCAAACCAUUGAAUUUUGAAAAGCUUCUUCAAGCCCAAUUAAAUAUUGACACGUAAAUUUUCAUCAUUCUUUUUUAUUAUUUAGCUGACAAUUUUGAGAAAAAUUUUGUAAACCCUACAUAUGAAGUAAGACUGAAAACCCGGAUAUUACAUGAAUACAAGCCACUGAAAUCAUAAUGAAAGAUAUGACAGAAGAAGCAUGCACUAUGUAAUUUAUCAAGCUAGGAGACUAAGAAUUAAGCUCAUAUCCUACUCAAAAUUCACCCAGAAUCAUUCUUAUAUACACACAUGAAAAUAUAUAUUAAUUAAAGGGCCGUGCCAUAUGGGAAGACCUUCCAUUAAUUUCACGGUUGUAAUAUGAGUAGAUGGCAUCCCACCAAGCCCUCUAGCUUUUUUGAAAUUGUUUAAAUACAUGAUAGAAGACGAGGAAAAAGCAGCAGCAGAGGACACAAACAGGGAUGGGAAGCCAAGAGAAACGUGGUAGCACAGCGUACAUGCCAGUCAUGAAUGCCACCACCAUUGCUCCCAUGCUAAACAUGGUGAGAAAAAAGCCCCAAGGUAAGUGUUUGUGGAGAAGCUCCUCUUUUUCAUACCCAGCCAUAAAAAAGUAAACAAAUGCAGCGGAUACAGAAGAAACCAUGGCUAAAGUAUCCGCGACAACAAAUGCUUUGAAAGCUUCUUUCUUUCCUAGGGUUGCCAGGCCAUCAUUUUCAUUGUAACCACCAGGCAAGGUGAAGCCAGCUGCAAAGGUUACAGUUGCUACCAGUGCUGUCACAAUUAAAUGAGUUUCACCUACUUUCUUCAAGGUAGAGAUGGAAUUGCUUCCACUACUACCUUUGUCUUCUCUGUCCCUCGUGACCUCUUUGUCCCUUGGGACCUCUCUGUCCCUCGGCACCCAACUUAAAGGUCCAAUACCCGCUUCCUUACUUGUGUUGAAGCAAGCCAUGACUAAUUUCUGAAAUUUUAACAAAAUAAAAACUCUACUUAUGGUUAGAGUUUGACAUGCAUGGACUUCAUCUACAAUUAAAUAAAAAUAAUAUUAAAAUGAAAAUUUGGUUUCCACAUGAGUUUGUAUUGAAGCAGUCAAUAGCCUUGUCUAUGUUAUUGUCAUAUGUUACUAUCACGUGAAUUAAUUUUGAAUCAGUCAAAAUUAGGCAAGUAAAAAUAUCAUAAAAAAUUAUAUAUGUAUGUAUGUAUUUACUUACAUGUGUAUGAAUGUAACCGGUCAUAUGAAAUCAAGUUAGAGAUCAACUUUACCUUUUGCAGCCCAUUGUCGGUGGCUCUUGAAACCAUGUCCUUGGGGGUUAAGUUUUCAUUGUUGAGCCCCAUCUUAUCCACUUUAUCGUCCAAUACAAAAUUUUCAUCAUCAAUUAGGUAAGAAGCAAGCAGGUGGAGGGGUGUGUCUCCUUGAGCAUCUCUCUCAUUUAAAAGUCCUCUCACUCUUAAUCCAUCAUUUUGUAAAAACAUCCUAGGAUAAUAAUC